rnacentral:lncRNA from 1 species
AAGUAAACCAUUUUCAAAUAAAAUAAAUAAUAAAUUAAUAAUUGGUUAUUACUUAUUAAGGUUUAGUUUGUUAUUGAACUCUAUCUAAUUCUAUUAGAUAAAAUGGAAUUGAGAAAAAAAUAUAUAGGAAUAUGUUUCUGCGUUUUUCGAUGAAACCGUAGAAAAUAUAUCGUAACCGACUAAUCGUAAUAUGCGGAAUCCAAUAUUACGUAUAAGGUAUUUUUUCAACAUUCUUUCUUACUGCACGUAAUGCAAUUUUUCUGUAAUUCCAAACGAAGUCUAAAUUAAAAAUUAUACUUAAAAAAAAAAAAACUUUUCAUUUUUCUUAAUUAAAAAAAGUUAAAAUUACCGAAUUAGCACAUCGGCGCAUCCUGACACAUGUACUCUUUUGUACAUCUACAUCAGUAGAGUAGGCUUAUUAGUAUGGACAAAACUUGCCGAAUGCAUCAAAACUAGGUCGACCGAUAAAAGAUCCCUAACAUAAUGAAUAUUAUAUUGAUUUUCGGUGUAAAUUAUUGGUCUAACAAAAUCAGCAUUCUGCCCUGUGGUAAGAGGUUAGAUUGUCCAAGUUACGUUUGGAAUGGCAAGAAAUUGAGUGGGUCGAGUCAUAUUCGAAGUCAUGUCAAGCUGAUAGGCCGAGUCAUAAUCGAAACCCAUAGACACUAUGUCUGAACGCAUUGAGUGAAUUAGUUGUGUAUUUCUAACUGUUCGAGUUUUGAAAUUAAUGGUUAACAUCAACGAUGUAAAAUAAACUGCUUUCAUCAAUUAUUUCAAUUCCAAACAAAUAAAAAUUUAAGUUCUGCUUGCAAUUGGGACAAUUAAACAACCCAAUUUGUCGCAUUAAUUUUGGCGCACAAAAAUUUAGUGACUAAAAUCACGCAUCAAAAAUUCAACAAUCAAAGUUCAAAAUUUGAGUUAAUUACGGCCAUAACGUGACUAGCGCAGCACUUCAAAAUUCAACAAUCUAACUACAAAUUUUGAAUUAGUGAUACCCACAACUUACCUAACAUUUUUUUUUUUAUCGACAUCUCUUUAACUACUAAUUUUUUUAUAUAUUAUUAUUAUUAUUUUUUUGUAUGGGAGAGGUGGCAUAUUUUUCAUAGAGUGGAUUUUUUUUUUUUUUUAAGAAAUAGGUGGCAUGCUAUUCGCUUCGUUUAUUUCAAACUUAGCUAGAAAUAUAAAUCAACUAAAAUUCAAACUUAGAAUCUCGGGUACCAACCAUCAAACCUUUUGCAACUUGCGCUAGGAACAGUCGGUUUCAUUGCACUAGUCACGGAUUUGGAGAACACACUAGAGAGAGAGAGAGAGAGAGAGAGAGAGAGAGAGAGAGUGUCGACAUAAUCUCAACUUGCAUUACCACAUUGUGUCGUAAAACUAGAUAAUUCCAUUUUUCUCCAGAUUCUACUAGAGAAGGGGGCCACAAACUUCCUAGUUCUCGUGACACUCUUAAUUACUGUUUGACUCUAUUUCUGCUUUUACUUUUAAUUUGUGGUUUCAAAAUUUUUGCUACAGCGAAAAGCAAAAUUUAAAUUUUUAGAUUUUACAGUAAAAUCUAUGAUUCGACACUUUUAAUUUUGCUGUAGCGUCUUAGCCAAUACUUUUAAGUUUGUCGUAAUCUGUUUUUCGAGACACACUUCUUCCUUAUCGCUGGAUUCGUACAGAAUAUUUUUUUUUGUUUGGUGUGUGUAUAUAUUUAUCUUAAAAUACUUAGAAAUAUAUUAUUUCUUUAUUUGGUUCAACAUAGAAAAUUUAUAACUAUUUAGCUCUUGUACUUGAUUUAAAUUUUGAAAUAGAUGUGAUAUUUGCAAAAGGGUAUUUCGGUCUUUCCAAAUUAAAAUUUUCAUUACCCAGUAUUAACGAAUUAUACGAUCACGCAAACAUUUUUAACUUCUGUCACGUCAUAUUUCUAUGGUAAAAUAAAUAUGAGAUCUUAUAAUUUUGAUGUAUUAUUUUUCGGUAUUAUUAAAAUACUGCGAAUUAAGUAGGCUCUAAUAAUUAUGCAGAAUAAAAUUAAGAUAUAUUUUAUAGAAUUUUUCUCUUUCAGCAUGCAAUCGCAUAAAAUGCUCUCCAUAGAAAAACAAAACGGAAUCUAAGGAUGUAAAACGGGACAGGCGACACGUGCCCGGCACGGCCUUGGGCGAGGCUACAGCACGACACAAGUACUGUAGCCUUGUGCCGAGCCGGCCCCGCUUGAAACUCUUGACCGUGCUUGGCCUUUUAUUUGGAGCCUGACAGCUCGACACGGCACGGCUCGCUUGGGCCGUGCCAGUCGAGCUCGCACAGCCCGAACCCCAAGGCCGAAGGCAGUUGCCUUGGGCCAGGGGGUCUAAGCUCCCCAGGUGCUCACCUCCCAAGAUCUACCUAACAAACCUUGGGAGGAGAGGGUUUUGGUCCAAUGAACUAAAGAAUUUUGGUCUAUUGGACCAAAAAUCUAUUUCAUUUUUUUUAAAUACAAAUUUAUUUAUUUAUUUUAAAAAUUAAAUAUUUACUUUAGUAUAAUUAUUUUUAUAAUUUUUUUAAUAUUUUAAUCAAAAUAUUAAUUUAAAUAAAAAUAUUUAUUGUUUAUAUUUUUAAAUUUCAUACUAGUUUUUUUUAAAAAAAUUAAAAAUAAAUAUUUUUCUAGACCGGCAAGGCACGGCCCAUGCCUUUUGAGCCGAAGGGCCGUACCAGGCCAAAGGGUAGGCAACUUGGGACCAACACGGCCUAGCCUGGCCCAAAAUUGAAUCCAGGCCGGGCUAGGCCGGCCCCUAGCACGGCCCACAUUACACCCCUAAUGGAAUCUCAUAACACUCUUUUAUUUUUUUAACAUAAAAAAGUACCAUGUUAAAUGAACUUGCACAUAAAAUAGGAACUUCGAAGCAUUGGGUAAGCACUACUGACCAUCCCUAAAGCGAGUGACAAAAGGCUUGGUGGUUGGUACCCGAGGCACAAGUUCGAAUCUUAGUUGAUUCAUAUUUCUAGCUAAGUUUAUUUAUAAAUGAAAUAAACGAAGCGGGUAGCGUGCUAUCUAUCUCUCUCUCAAAAAAAAAAAAAAGCAUUGGGUAAGCACCUCAUAGAAGAAUAAUAGGGAAUCUCGUAAUCCUCCAUAUUUUUUUUUUUUAAAGGACCUUAUUAAGUAAAUUUGCGUAAAAAGUUGUACUUUGGUAGCAUUAGAUGAAAUUAUUGUUUCCCUUAAUAGCAUUUCUUAGUCAGUACUUUAAGAAUCGUGCAGAAUAAAAUUCAGUAAAAUAAAAUUCAAUAUUAAAAGGGUCAUCGAAAAAAUAUAUUGCUGAGGUAGCAAAUCUUGGUCGUUCAAAAGCUCUCCAUAGAAGAAUAAUAAGAAAUCUCAUAAUUUUAUUUUAUUUUAUUUUUUUAAUAUGACCAUGUUUAAGUAAACCAGCAUUAAAAAUUGCACCUUCAAAAGUUAAAUGGGCUGGGCCGUCCUCUUCACAAAGUUUCGCCUGCAGUCCGGAUUCCCGGAUAUUAGACCGGCCCAAUUUUGACACAUCUACUGCACUUUUUUUUUUUUUUUUGAGAGAGAUAUAGGUAGUAUACUUUUCGUGUUUAUUUCAUUUAGAAAUAAUCGUUUAUUUUAUUUAGAAAUAAAGUUGGAUUUGAAAAUUUGAAUUUGAAAUCUUUUGAUUUGGAAGGUCCUAUUAAUUAUUUUCACUUUGGAUUAGAAAUAGUCCCCAACCUUUCCACCAAUUUUGUAGAGUUACAGGAUUCUCUAUUUUAUCUAGACCGAUACCACAGUUUAUAAAUUCCGUGGAGAUAUUUUACUGUGUAUCCAAACAGGCCCUAAUUGGUGGACAGGUUGGGGAAAGGUUGGGGACUAAAGUAAAAAUGGGUGGAAAGGUUGGGGAUUAAAGUGAAAAACGGUAGAAAUAGUUGGAUUAGAAAUAAUUAAUAGCCAAAUUAAAAUUAAAUUUGAAUUUAAGAUUUGAUUUCAAUUCUAAAUUUGAAUUUAAACUUCAAAGCCAAAUUCAUAUUUUGAAUUUGAAAUUUCAAAUCCAAGUUUGAAAUUAAAUUAGAAUUUAGAAUUCCAAAUAUGAAUUUGAAUUUAAAAUAAAAAAUUUAAAAUUAAAUACAAAAUCGGAUUGAAUUCCAAUUUAGAUUUGAAUUCAAAAUUAAAAUUAAAAUUUAAAAUUUAAAUCGUAAAUCAAAAAAUUUUUUGGAAUUUAUAAAUUUAAUGGGUUAAUUACACCAUUGGUCCUCAAUCUUUGCUCCAUUUUUCAAUUUGGUCCCGAAUCUUUUUUUUUUUUGCAAUCUACUGAUACAACGCUACCGUGGCGCUGACAUGGUGCCUCCGUGGCGCUGACGUGGCAUUUUCCGUCAAUUUUAGCAACUAUCUAACGGCUGGGACUUAAUUGAAAUGAAAUCAAAAGAUUAGAGACUUGAUUGAAAAAAAAAAAAGAUUGGGAAUCAAAUUAAAAAAUAAUGUAAAGGUUAAGGACCAUUAGGCUGCGUUUGGUUCGGGUAUAAGUAAGAACUGCUAGUUCUAGGGAUAGAUACAAGUUCAUGUAUAAGCAGGAACUAGACAAAUUUUGCGUUUGGAUGAAAAUUGGGUUGUUCCUAGGAAUAAGAUAAAUAGCGUUUGGAUGAUUAGAUUGGAACAAGAGGAAUAAACGUUAUAAUUUGAAAUUAAAAUUAUAUUAUGUAAUUAAUUAACAUAAAAAUAUUACUUAAAAAUAAAUAAAAAAUUAAUUAUUAAUAAUUAAUUAUAAAUAAUAAUUAAUAAUAAUAAUUAAUUAUAAAUAAUAAAUUAUUAAUAACGAUUAUCUAAUUAAUAAUAAUUAUUAUUAUUAUUAAUUAUUAAUAAAUAAUAAUAAUUAUUAAUUAUUCUUAUUAAUUAAUUAUAAAUAAUAAAUUAUUAAUAAUAUUGAUUAUCUAAUUAUUAAUAAUAAUUAAUAUUAAUAUUUAUUAAUAAAUAAUAAUAAUAAUUAUUAAUAAUUAAUUAUAAAUAAUAAAUUAAUAAUAACAUCGAUUAUCUAAUUAUUAAGAAUAAUAAUUAUUAAUUAAUUAUUAAUAAAUAAUAAUAUUAAUUAUUAAUUAUUAAUUAUAAAUAAUAUAUUAAUAAUAAUAUCGAUUAUCAUUAAGAAUAAUAAUUAUUAAUAAUUAUUAAUAAAAAAUUAAUAAAUAUUAUUAAUUAUUAAUAAUUAAUUAUAAAUAAUAAAUUAUUUAAUUAUUUAAUUAUUAAAAUAAUAAAUAAUAAUUUAAAUAUAUUAACUAGAUUAAUUAAUAAUUUACUGUCAUUAAAAUUAAAUUUAGAUUUUAAUUAAUCUUGUUCUCAUCAAGGAACAAGCUUGUUUCAGAAAACGGGUGGAACAGCAGUUCCAGCCUUAUACCAGCUAGUUCUAGAUUCCUGAGAACUACUGUUCCCGAGAGCCAAACAUAGUGUUUGGGAACAAAGAGGAGAAUAAGGACUUAUUCCCCCCCUUGUUCCCGAACCAAACGCUACCUUAGUGUAAUUAACCUUUAUCAGAAUUAUUAUAUGUACAACAUAAUAUUGCAUGCGAAAAUAGGUAAAAUAUUUUUGUAAUAGUACCAGGGAAUCACGUGACACCCACGUGCGCGGAUCCUGGUGCCGGUUUAGGCGGGCUGUAAAAAGCCGAGUUCGCCGUUUAUUUCAUUUUCCCUCUCAAUCGCGACCUCGUUGUAAUCCACCCGUCAAUAAACAAAUCAACGGUCGACAUCGAUUCAUAGCUUCCCCUCCUCUCUCUUCCGGGAAAUUAUCGCCUGAACCGCGUGCAUCCGUACACAUAAUGAACCGCACUCUAUGAUUAAUGCCUUAAAUUAUUAGGAAAUUGUGAUUUUUACAAUAUUCGCAGGGUCUAUGUAUGCAAGUAAUAAUAAUUUUUCAGAAUUGUUGGAAUUAAAUUAUAAUUUAUUUUGGAGCUUUUUUUUUAUGUUGGAACUCAUAGCAUUACGGUCCAUGAGUUUAUGAUACACCGGGCUCAGGAAAAUUCCUCUCCUCUCUCUCUCUCUCUCUCUCUCUCUCUCUUUGUAGUAAUAAUCUCCACAAGUCGACCCUUUCGUCUUCUCCUUCCCCCACGCUUCUCUGAGCUCUCUCUCUCUCUCUCUCUCUCUCUCUCUAAAAGCGAAGUAUUUGAGGUUGAUGGGCGCGAGGAAGAGGGAGAGGAGGAUACUCGCCCUCACGGGGGCCGCGGCGCUUCUCGCUCUGAGCGUCAAUCUCAUCAUCUCCGCCAUUAACGCACACAAUGGGAGCUCGAAGAGGAAGAAGAAGAAGAGAGGUUAAUCUAAUGCUUAUUUCCGCUUUUUAGAGGUUGUGCUGUUGUUUCCCCCUUUCUCUCUUGCCCGAAUGGUGCGAAAUUUCGCGUCUUUGUGUGGUGGUUGAUGAGGAGGACGAUAAAGUUCCCUCUUUUGCCGAUUUGUUGUGAAUUAUCUAGGGUUUUAAUGGUGGAGCUUCGGGUUUUAAUGGUGGAGCUUCAUGAUUUUGCUUUAUAUGUCGAGUUAUAAUUUGUAAUAUUUUUCUGAAAUGCUCUGGGGGGGUUUCAUGGAUUAGGAGUACGUGUGAUUGAGGAUUAAAUUAUGACUCGCGAAAGUUGUGGUUCUAAGUAAACUGGUAAAGUUGCAGAAUUUGAGGUUUAUGUACUUGUUCGUGGAAUUUUAUGUUUAUAACCUUUCAGCAAAAAUAUGUAUAUUUAAAUUGAAGGAAGAUAUUUGCAAUUGUAUUGCUCGAUGAUUAUUGCUAGAAAUUGUUAGUUUCUUUGUUCUUACUGCAGUGUUAAUAGAAUUUAUGCCAUUUAAAACAUUUUGAUUGUGAUGGAGAUGCUUGGGGAAUUUCUUAUUGGCACCCUAAUGAGAUAUAGCGCAUGUAUUUGACAGAGAGAGAGGGUCAAAAAACGAAACUUUAUGUUUUAAAGAUUGUCCCAGCUGAAAAAUAGAGUAGGUAGAUAACCCUGUUAACUUGUGGUUGGUAAAUUUCUAAUAUACAUCAAUAUCGUUAUAUACUUUGAUCUAAUUACCAUGUUUGAGAAACAGAUUUACGCUUAUCAUCUUAUAUUUGGAUUGGCUCCCUUUUUCUGGGUCAAUACUUCUUUGCAUUAUUGCAUAAUACGCUGUAAAUAUUGGCCACAUUCAUUCUCUUUUGGUCAAAUGAUUGCAGAUCUUCCAUGCUCAAGCGUCCACAUCAGUCUAUCGGCAUCUGAGAUUGACAGAUUAACUGAUCAUAUCAUAGCUAAAUCAAAGGACACAUAUGAUUUAGUUGCUUCAGUUCCUCUCGGCAAAGUAUGUUUGUUUGAAAAUGAUUCCUUGGUUUAUGUUCUUCUGCUUUCUUCUGUCUCUUCUUCACAUUUCUUGUGCCACUUUAGACCUGUUAAACUGUAAGACAGUAGGACUGUUAUCUCAGAUGCUAAUUUGAUAUUUAUCAGUCUACGCAUGCUGCCUGUCUUAGAGUCCACUUUUGGCAUCCUUUGUGGCUGCGCUGUUUUCUAUUUGCCAUUUUUACUUUCCCUUGAUACAUAUUUGGACUUCACAGUUUAUUAGUCGGUCCUUUACAAAUAAAGUAUCGACAUUCUUCAUCAUUGCCGCUGUAGUUUUUAUUUACUAUUUUGUCCUCUAUGGUUCUAUCAAUUACAUAGUCGUUGAAAGAAGCAAAUCAUGGUUUUUUAUCUAAAGCUUCAAGUUUUAUGUUUGUUUCCCACAUGAAAUGGUCCUUGUCAUGUUGAGAAUGAGCUUGCUGGGCUUUCUUUGAAUAACUUCUAUUAGCAUGGAUUAAUUGAUAGCUCCUGUUUGUCCUUUCCUGAGAUUGGUUUUGAUCAUAUGAAUUUGAAGCAUAUUUUUACCAGUAUUCUCUCUGUUGUGAUGCUCAUGUUUGGUCACUCGUUUCAUUUCAUAACUCAUUAAAUGUAAAAAUAGAUUGUAGAAUUCCCUCGCCUGUUAUAACGCAUGUUGCAGUUUCUUAAGGCAAGUGAUGGGUUUGAACUGGCCAACGCUAUCUGAUCCCUUACAACUUAAAACAGUAAAUAUUUGUUAUGUUUUUUUAUAGUUACUUAUCUUUCAGAAAACAUCUUGCGCAGGUUAGCUAUGCAAAUGUAAUCUCACCUUUGGCAGAAUUAGAAGCUCAGCAAUUUCCUUUGAUCCAAUCCUGUGUUUUUCCAAAAAUGGUGUCCACCUUGGAUGAUGUUCGCAAAGCAAGCUGUGAAGCAGAGAAGCGAUUGGAUUCUCAUCUCCUGAUGUGCAGGUUUCAACAUUUUUGUUCUUUGCGAUUCUUCCUCUCAUUUUUCCAUUGUCUUUUCACUUAUCAUGUUAUGUACAUUUGUAAUUUGGUAAUGGAAUAUGGUAAAAUGAAGCAGAGUUCUUAGCUAUUUCUCCAGGAACCAGUGACUUUAUGUAAACAAUGAGAAUUCUUUUGCUAUAUAAAAAAGAAUAAGGAUUCAUAAUUUCUUUCUUAACAAUAAGAUUGCAGAUAAAUGAUCAUUAAAGUGUAGAGAACUUCUGUCAUACUUUUCCCCCCUAUUUUUGCUCUUCUUUGUACAUUAACGUUCUUAUUAUUUUCUGCAAGGUGAUCAGAAAGCGUGAGGAUGUGUAUCGUGUUGUUAAGGCAUACGCUGAUAGAGGGGAGCAACUAGGCUCUGAAGCACAACGCUAUGUCCAGUGCUUGGUAUAGAAUUUCUGUGUAAUAUAUAUUCAACGAAAUAUAUCAUCCAAACCGGCCUUUUUCUCGCAUGUUCUGUUAUACCUUAUUAGCUCGAUUUCUCUUAGUUCCAGCUCAAGAAUUUAAUACUGCUCUUUGCCGUUCUCUUAAUGUGAUUAUUUUAUAUAACUUUAUUAUUUUGACGUUGAGCAUCAUAUCAUAUCUUGCAUGGAUACGGACAAAGACUGUUUCAGCAUUUUUCUCCAAUAGUGGAUGGUAUGGGAAAUAGCAAAUUGUCUUUCGCUUGCUUUUCGUGAGAUUUAUAAUGUAAUAACAUUUUUUAGUUUUUAGUCUAUAUGCAAAGAUGGGCAGCUUGCAUUUUUGUAUUGCUCUUUCUAAUAUUCAGCAGUAGAUAAAUCAGGUCAUUUAAAAUGUAAACAUUUUGGUUAGCUUAUUCUUAACAAUAUGAACAGAAGCAAACUAGCAGGAUAAAGUGAAAAUAGUGCAUUCUAAUGGUGUUUUACAGAUUUACCUCUUGAUCGAGUUCUCAAUCAAUGUAGUAGAUACCAAAUAUUUUCUUUUUUGAAAAUUUUAAAGUUUAUUAAUUUAUUUGUUAACUAGGAUAAUCUUCUGCUCAAGUUAUAGGACAAUGUAAGGAAAUUGUAUUUCUCUUGAAAUGUUAAAAUUGUUAUUUGACGUGCAACUUAAUAUUUAGUAUAUGUUUGUCAUGCAAUAGAUCAUUUCUUUUCUUGUUCUAGGUGAAUUAUUUCUUUUGUUUCUUUCAAUAUAUGCUGUCAGUGUUAAACAACUUAAACUUGUUGCUCUACUCAGAAAUUUGAAAACCAUUGCAUUUGAUGCCUCUGAUCCCAUUUCAGGAAUGUCCAACAAAUCAAAGUUAGGAUUAUAUUUUAUGCUCUUAUUUGUUGCAUUCUACUGGUCAGAACUUUUGCAUUUAUAUUAGAAUGUAUUUCUAGCUUCUUUUCGGGAUUGUGUAUUGACUCCUCUUUGUCCAGUGACAGGUUAGAGAAUUUGAGCGGCAUGGUGUGAAACUUACUUUGAGCAAGAGAAAUGAAAUGGAGAAUUUGAAAUCUCGGAUUGAUGAACUAAGUUUGAAAUACAUUGAAAAUCUGAAUGCUGGUACUAAAUUUGUUCUUCUCAACGAACAAGAACUAGCUGGGAUGCCUCGUGAGUUCCUUAUGGUUAGUAAUCGAAUGUCUCUAUAGAACCUAGAGAUUUCAAUAGUUUUGUCAUUUUCAUGCAUGAUAUAUGUUUUUGUUGAUGUAUACUGCUAUAAACUAAUUCAUAAUGCAAAAUUGUUUUUCUUUAGUUAUCUUUUCCAUGUUAGUAUGUUACUAGAGUUCAUGCUAAUGGGUUAUAGAUUAUUUACAUGGACAGUAAUUUGGAUUAUUUGAAGCGAUCAAUGUUGGAUAGUUUACAUUUAAUGAUAGUUGCUACUUUUUUUUUUUUGGCAUAUCUAUUCCUCAAGCAUUUUUAUCUAUUCCUUGAGCAUAACUUUUUGUUUUUUGUCUUUGACAAAUUAAGACCUUCAAUGACAACCAGAUUUGUUAUCUGAGGGUACUUCAUGUUCUUCAUCCAGGAUGAGUAAAGGAUUUUAGAAAACAUUUAUACUGUAAAUGAUUAAGCAAUUAUGAAAUAUUUAUGAAACGUUUAUGAAAAAUUUAUAUUCUUCUGAUGUGACUGAAGCAUGACAUGAUUGAGGAAUAAUAGCAUUAGUUUUUUAGCUGAAUAAAGCACUGUAUCUAUUGAUAAAAUUUUGCUUUUUUUUUUUUUCAGCUCCUAUCUAUAGCUCUUUCUUUUCUUGUAAAUGUGGAUAUUGAAUAAUAUCAUCUGAUUGCUAUACAUCAGAAAUUGUUGUAACUAUUAAAAUGAUGCGACCAUUUUGUAUUUCGACACUGCUUUACACUAACUUCGAAGUAGUGUGAAUGGUCUUCUGGAAUUUCUGAAAUCACCUUCUCCUACUUGUAGCUCAAAUAUUGGUUUUAUACUGUUAAUUGAUCAACUUUAAGUCUCCAUGUGGCUAUUUCAUACACUAAAGCUAUUAUUUUAUCGUGUUGUUUGUCUUUAUUAUUCUGCUUGCUAUUCAGAAAAAGAAUCAUGAGUUGUUCUAUCCAGGAGUUGGAGAAAACUGAUGGCAAACUGAAGGUUCUCUUGACAAAUUUUCAUGUUACUCCAAUACUUGAGCAUUGUAAGGUGUGUCUUUUCUUUUCCGUAGUUUUGUUCCAUAUCAUUAAGUCCCCAGUUUUUACUUGCUAUCCUCCUAGCCAUUUUGUCAAUUAUGGAUCCCACUUUGGUGGGACCAUAACUGGGUAUCUUUCUUGUAGCUUAACUGAUGUGUAUUACUUUGUCGUACAUAUCUUCCCGUUGUCAGAUCAGACUCCUUGCUUUUAGUGUACACCGUCAAUACGCUGAACCUUUUGGAGAAGUGUUGCUGUGAAUUUGUUUCUCGUGGAUAACAAUAUCAUGUUAAAUUUUAUUUCCAUUAUGGAAUGUUUUUAGUUUUCAUUUGUAUUCAUUUUCCUACAUUCUUUUCUUAAAGAUUGGGGCCUCCAGGAAGUUGAUAGCUGUAGCUUAUGGCCAGAGAGGCGGCGCAGAGAAUCUUGAUAUUUUAGAAAGUUUGGUAAGUUCUAACUUCUCAGGUAUUGUAUUGGACUCUUUUUUUUUUUAAAUCAAAGGCUAUUUUUUAUAUUUAUUAUCAAAUGAACGAUACAUCUAUAAAUACGCCACUGUAAGAUUAUGUCAGCAGAAAUUUAAAACUUAACUACAAACAAACAAAGCAUGAUAUUGCCAUGAAACACAUGCAACCAAAAUCACAUUCCUGUAUUGUGGUUGUUUUUCACUGGCAAUCCAUCGGCCUUGAUAUGUAAGCGAGUGUGUCAAUCAAGUGUAUAGUAGUUCAUGUUUUGAAGGGCCUAUACAUUUUUCUUUUAGUUACGUGAGAACUUUAUCCAAUGCUGCUUUUUUUUCUUAUGUGUAUAUGUAGAACUCCUAUUUUAUCCUUUUUUCUUUUCUAUUAUAUUUAGGUUGAAUCGCGCCACAAAUUUUCUCAAUUGCUUGGUUAUUCGAGCUAUGCAGAAUUGGUUCUUGAACCUAGAAUGGCGAGGACAUCUUCAAAGGUUUGUUCUGUGUCUGUUAAUCAAAGGACUAACUAUGACUUUUUUGUGAUCUCUGUUCACGACAAAUUUCCGAGCAAUAUUAAGAAAUACCCAUAUAUGAUUCUUGCGGAAACUGCAAAAUGCCCUUUAGAAAUGAGAGCUACGCCCUUCCGUCGCCCUUAUUUCAGCCUUCACGUCCUCCAAUCUCCUCCCUGCCCUCUUUGAUUUCCUGAACGUCAUCCAACGAACACUGAAGGGAUGUAAGAGCUUCUUCUAUGGAAAGAUCUUCUUCUUUCAUUUUCAGUCACUACUGGAAUUUCCUGGUCUUGAUUUUAUGUUUUCCCAACAACUGCUGGAAUUUGUCCUGAUUACAAUAUUCCAGUCAUAGGAGAACUGGUUGUUGCGUUCUGGUUUCUUAUUCAUUUCUUCUCCUUAUUAUGGGUAGAUUUUAAAGAUUAGUCCUGAUUUGGUGAAUUUAUCUCUUUGUGAAGAAUUUUCUAAUUUUCUGUUUUUGUGGUUUAUGCUUCCUACUUUCUGAUUGAAACUUCUAUAUAAAUUUGCAGGUUUUUGAGUUUCUGGAGGAGGUCUCAGCAAAUUUAAAUGACUUGGCAACUAGAGAGCUCAAAGUACUUAAAGAUUUGAAGGUUGUACUUCACCAUGCUGUGCUACUACUUUUUGUUUACAGUUGAAAUUGUAACUUGUCUAAUUGGGGAACUCAGAGAAAGGAGGAGGGGGAUUCUCCAUUUGGGAUGGAAGAUUUUCUGUUCUACAUGAGGAGGGCUGAAGAACAACAGCUUGAUCUCGAGUUUGGAGAAGUUAAACAAUACUUUCCUGUCAGUCUGGUUUUAUCAGGAAUUUUUAAGAUAUUUCAGGAUCUUUUUGGUAAUAUAAAUAUCCUUGUCUCUAUUAUAACAUCUUCUAGUUAGCGCAAGCCAUUCUAUGUAUAAUGUUACGUCUUUAUGAUAACCUUGUUGGGCUCUCAUAACGAUUGUUGAUUCAGGUCUAAGAUUUGAAGAAGUUAAGGAUUGUGAGACCUGGCAUGAUACUGUUCGCUUGUUUGCUGUUCGGGAUGUAACUUCUAAUGAUCUCUUGGGUUACUUUUACCUUGAUACCUUUUUCAGGUCCAAUCUUUUUCAAUGUGUAUUUGUUUCUUCAAUUAGCAAACAUUUAGAUUGCUGACCGACUCCCUACUUCUAUAUAUAGGGAAGGGAAGUUUGCUCAUACUUGUGUUGUGCCACUUCAAAAUGGAUGGCUAGCUUCUAAUGGUACACGAAAGGUAACUGCAUCAACUCUUGCAAUCAUUCUCAGAAAAAAAGAAGAAGAAAGAUUUAUAUGUUGAGAACCUCUUUUUCAUGCCAAAGAUGUAAGUAAGCAAAUCGAUUUCUGCGCAAAUUCAUGGACCAGCAAGCACAUACUCAUAUUUAUCAGUUGUUAAUUGAGCAUUAGAUCAAAUUCAAUUGGGCCAAAAGACUUAGCUCAAAGUUGAUCUAUUAACAAUUGAACGAAUGGAUACCCAAAUAUAGCCCAUCAGUUUCCUCAUAUGUCAUAAAAAACUACUUGUGGCUUCGUAAAUAUUAACUGUAGUUGCGACCUUUUGUAUGCGCAUGUUAUUUUAACUGCCUAAUUUAUUUAUUUCAAUAAGAAAAUUUUGUUGUGCAGGUUGCAAUUGCACUAUUAAUAUCACAGUGCCCAAAACAAAUAGAUGGUAAUCCAGCUCUAUUACGAUUCUCUGAAGUUGUGAGCCUCUUCCAUGAGUUUAGUCAUGUGGUAUGUUACUUUCAAAUCUUUUUGUGCAAUCUUGUCAUCUUUUUUACAUUAUUUUGCAGUGUUCUCAGUUAAACUCUUUUUUAAUUUUUGACAUUUAAUUCAAUGUGCAUCUAAACAUUACGGUAGGCUUUAUUAUGUUCAUGGAACUUUGCCUUGUCAUGUAUGAUUUGAUUAAUAUGCGCGUGACAGAAUAUUUGCCUUUCAGGUCCAUCAUAUGUGCAAUAGAGCAACAUUUUCUAGAUUUUCAGGGCUACGAUCGGAAGGAGAUUUCAUUGAGAUUCCAAGUCAGCUUCUUGAAAGAUGGUGAGUUAUCACAUAUCAAAAUAAUUACCACUUUGAUGUUCAUAGGACAAUAUGUAAAUGUUAUCUUCUAAACAUGUUCCUCUAUCACAGGUGUUAUGAGAGCGUAUCUCUGAAAAUGAUGUCCGGUUUUCAUCAGGUAUAAUGCACUAUACCUACUAUGUUGAGCCUCAACACUGAUUAUCAUUCUAUUGCUUUCGAAGGACUGCAAACUGUACUUUUACUGUUGAAAUUUCCAAAGAUUGCUAGAAGUCGUGUUUCAUCUGUAAUUUGUAGGAUAUGACAAAGUCCAUCACGAGUGAGAUGUGUAAAUCUCUGAAAAGAAGGCAUGAUUCGUUUGCUGGCCUGAAACUGAAGCAAGAAAUUCUGCUUUGUAAGUCAUUUUAAUUAUUUUCCAGCAGUUUAAUUUUCAAAUCAUUGAGCACUGAACAGUUGAUCGCUAAGCAAGUAAUUUUUGAUUGAUAAUAUCCUCAGUCUGCAUCUUUUGAAUAUUUUGGUUGGUCAACCAUUUAUAUUUCAUCUUAACACUUUUAUCUUCCACCAACAAUGGCUCAAUUUUUAUUAUUCAUUCCCUUACUUAAACUUUAGUUUUGCAUUAGUAGAGGAAAUUUGGUUUGAGAUGAUUUUAUUCGAUAUUUUUUACCUUUUUUUCCCCACAAGAAUUUUCCUCUCUUUUUACCUAUGUUUCCUCUUGGUUCUUCCCCACAGCAGAUAGAAUUUGUAAAUUGAAUGCUAAUGUACCAUAUACUUGGUAGGUUUUCAACGUUUUUCUUGUGCUAUAUUGGAAAUAUUUGUUUUGAUGGUUUUGAGUUGUUAGAUAUUUGGGUUAUUAGUGUAAGACAAGCAUUUUGCUCACAUAGAUUUGUUGUUCUUUUUGCCUUUAUCAGGCCUUGCUGAUCAAAUAAUACAUUCUAGUGAGAAUGUUGACAUAGUAGAGUUACUCAAGCACCUCCAUCCUAAGGUACUGCUCACUCGAAUAAUAUUUCUUUUUUUUUUUUUGGCCAUGAUAAAUAGAUGGCGUAAUAUUGGCUUCUUUUGCAGGUAAUGCUGGGUAUACCUUUGUUGGAAGGGACCAACCCAGCGUCAUGUUUCUCUCGACUUGCCAUCGGAUACGAAGCCAUUUGUUAUAGUUACAUCUGGAGUGAGGUUUGUAUUAAUUUCUUCAGAAAAAGAAAAUGAAUGCAUAGCGAUGCCUAUUUUCUUGAAUUGAUAACUAAGUGAAAAAAAAUGAUCGUUCAUUCGACAGGUUUUUGCUGCUGAUAUUUUUGCGUCAAAGUUUCAAGAUGAUUUGCUAAAUCACUACGCAGGGCUGCAGUUCAGGAAUAAGGUACCGACUUUUUUAAACUUAAUUGUGAAUUGAACAUGUGUUGGAUCACUAUUAAUGUGCCUUGGGAUUUCCUCUCCUCCUUGCUUUGGCCUUAUUAAUUCGCGUACUUGUCGUGCAGGUAUUGGCGCCGGGAGGAGCAAAAGAUCCCCUCGAGAUCCUAUCUGAUUACCUCGGAAGAGAACCAUCCAUUCGGCCCUUCAUUGAGAGUAAAAUCCAAAACAGUCUCUGAAUGUGCAUAUCCCUUGUUUCAAGGACAACUUAAUUUCCCUUACUACAGUGAAAAAUCCAACUGUUUCAUUUAACUCCAAGACUUUCUUUUCCUUGUUCGUCUUAUUCGUUGAAUGUGAUAGCUGUUCAUUUUGAUUUGAGCAUCGUCCAUCGGGUAACUUCACUAUGAUCAGUCCUUUUCCCUGGAAAUACUGAGCAUCAUCAAAUUGACUGUUUGUCUAUACUGACCAACAACUUUUGCAGAUAUUUCGGUUUCUUCAUUUAAGGAACCAACAAGUAAGAUUUAGAACCAACCAUUUUGAUUUCUGCUGUGAAAUUGAAUUCUGACUCUAGUUCUUUUGGACUUCCAUUCCAGUUCUCAUUCUGGUACGGUCCAAAACCGCACCCUUGGAUACAAAUGAUUCGACAAGCACUGUAGUGCUCGUAAAGAUGCUUCAAAAUUGGACGGAAAAGUAUUUCUGCGACCGAUAUCUCCCUUUCACUCCAUUGUUGUGAGUAGAUGAUGUGUGUGGUAUGUAAUAUCUGAUGCUUGAGUUCUGAGAUAUAUUGGUUGCGAAGAGAUUCCAAAAUUGGCUAGUGAUAGAGACUUAUCACAUAUAUCUUAUGCAAAGUCUCCUAUUCUAACUGUUAGGGAGGUCACUUGCUUAUCACAUCCCUGUCAUUUUAUGGGACCACUUUAAUGUGUCUCAUCAGAAAUACAGAGCUUAAGACACAUUUAUCAAAUCACAAAGUUCAAAUGGAGUAUAUACACCGCAUGUUAGGGACACAAAAGUGCUUCUAGUUAAAGCAAUUUUUUGAAAACUGGUGUAACUUUUUAAGGCUUUGUUUUGGAUUACGGAGAGAUUGCGUUGUGCUGUGAGAAAAUACAAUGGAAAAAUAUUUUAUUUGUUUUCGUACGUAAUAUUACGUUCUGCAUAUCGCGGUAAGUCGAUUAUGAUAUAUUUUUUACAGUUCUAUUGGAUAGAACAACGCAGAAGUAACCCUAGGUUUCAAUACCAAACUAAGCCUAAGUUGGUUUUAUUAACUGAGUUAAUUUUACUAUUGUUAGAGGUGUAAAACGGGCCGGGUCGGGAUACUGUACUGGAUAAUGCCUAACAUAACCCGGUGGCUACCGUAAACUAGGCCAUACCCGACGAGUGAUGGCCCAAUAGUUUGGGCCGUAAAAAGGGUGUUGCGACGUCUCGGCCCGAUUUUUGGUGCCUCUACUUUAUCAAUAACCUGAAAAAACUUGUAAUUUUUCAGAAAAAUUAUAUAUCUUUUCACUAUGCAUCUAAAGAUGUAUAGAAUAAAAUAAAAAACUUAUUUUUAAAAAUAAAUUCUACUAAGUUGCAUCUGUAUCUGAAUUCUAUUGAAUUAUACUCAGAUUUUGAUUUGCAAUUUAGCGAACUUUUCAAGCGUGAACUUUUCUUUUCCCCCCUUUUGGUAUUAUUAUAAACUCUUGAUAUUUAACUUAAUUUAAUUUAAUUUUUUAUGCUUUAUAUUCAUUUACUCGGAUUGUUGGUGCGCGUUACGACUAUUCUACAACUUGAAUCGUGUGGAAAGGGUUUUUUUUUUUUUUUUUUUCCAGCGCUGCUUCUGCUGCUGAAGCUCGUCGACAUCUCCUCUCUCUCUCUUCUCUCUCUCUCUCUCUUCUCCUCGUUUUUCGCGCAUCACCACGACGAAGCGAAGCCUCGCGAUUGGGCGAAGAGGGGAACGAGAGGGGCUCCAAAAGGUAUCAAAUCGCACCUUUCCUUUCUUCUCUUAGUAUCCGUUCAGAAAAGUUCGCAUUUUUGGGUUUUUUUUGGGGGGGGGGGUGGGGGGGGGCGCGUGUUUGACUCGGACGUUGUUACCUAAUGUCUCGCACAAUUUUUUAUGGGAAUUCGUCGCCUCGAUCGUGCGCGAAUCGUUUCCGGAUUGUUCCGGAGAGCGUUGAUUUGGGGGAGCGGAGAGUAAAAUCGGCUUCUUUUGUUGGAUAUAUCUGAGAAAUUUGUCACCUUUGAUGUGAAUUUUGGCUUCUGGGUUUUGUUUUUCUAGGUCAUCUCCUUGGAUUAUAGAGAAGAGCGAUAGGGAAUAGUAUCGUUUUCCGACCCAAUUUCACUCAAAACAAGUUGUUGGAUGCAUAAAAAUCGAAUUUUUAUGCGAUGGAUUUCAUUGGGGGAGAUGGGAUUUGCUUCCUUUUAAUUUUUGGGAAUCGUAUAUAAGAGUAUGCGCAACAAAUUCCGUUUAAAAUGAAGUGGAAUAGCUAAUAACACAUUCGAUGCAUAAGGGUAUGGAGUGAAUUUCAAGUCUAAGAAGUGAUUGGUUUGUGGGAUUUAGUUUAGGCCCAUUAUAGCAUGAUUAAGCAAAUUUUUGGACGGCGGAAGCCGCCGAAAUCAGCGGAUAGGGAUUUGAUUGUGGGGGUGAGUCCUUCGCCGAAUCCUUAUUCUGGUUCCAGAAGUGGGGAUUCAGCGAAUAAUAGAAUUGUCACUGCAAAUAGUCAUCUGGCCCCUUUGUCGAAUUACGGCUUAAACUAUCCCAGCCCAGCUUCUAACUCCAAGGUAAAUGGUAAUUCUGUUGGCUUUCCCUACGAACCGUUGCCGAGCUUCAAAGACGUCCCAAGCGCUGAAAAGCAGAGCUUGUUCCUCAAGAAGUUGGAUUUGUGCUGCGUCGUGUUUGACUUCACGGAUCCGACGAAGAACGUGAAAGAGAAGGAAGUGAAGCGGCAAACAUUGGUAGAGCUUGUUGACUAUGUCACUUCACAUAGUGGGAAGUUUCCAGAAAUAGUUAUGCAAGAGAUUACCAAAAUGGUAUCCAUAAACUUGUUUAGAGCAUUUACUUCCCCGCCUAGAGAGAAUAAGGCCUUGGAAGCCUUUGAUGUAGAGGACGAGGAGCCCGUAAUGGAUCCUGCAUGGCCUCACCUGCAGCAUGUGUACGAUUUGUUCCUGAGGUUCGUUGCUUCUCCAGAGACUGAUGCGAAACUGGCCAAGAGAUAUGUAGAUCACUCCUUCAUUCUUAGACUACUCGAUCUCUUUGAUUCUGAAGACCCCAGAGAGAGGGAGUACUUAAAGAUGAUACUUCACCGUAUCUAUGGAAAAUUCAUGGUGCACCGCCCAUUCAUCAGGAAAGCUAUUAACAACAUUUUCUACCGGUUCGUCAUGGAAACUGAGAAGUUCAAUGGGAUUGCGGAGCUCUUGGAGAUCUUGGGAAGUAUUAUAAAUGGGUUCGCUUUGCCGCUUAAGGAAGAACACAAGCUGUUCCUGGUUCGGGUCUUGAUCCCACUUCACAAGCCAAAAUGUGUUGCUGCAUAUCAUCAGCAGCUGUCUUAUUGCAUCACUCAGUUUGUUGAGAAAGAUUGCAAGCUCGCCGAUACGGUCAUAAGAGGUUUGUUGAAAUAUUGGCCCGUCACAAAUAGUUCAAAGGAAGUGAUGUUCUUGGGAGAGUUGGAGGAGAUCUUGGAGCAAACUCAGCCGGCCGAAUUCCAGAAGUGUAUGGUUCCACUCUUCCGCCAGAUUGCCCAUUGUUUGAACAGUUCUCACUUUCAGGUAAAAGUGUUACAGUGUUUUAAUUUAUAUAAUAAUAAGAUCUACUCCAUUUCUUUUGGCCCAUUUUUACUGUUUUGUUUUAUCGGUCAUUUUUUGUAUGCUUCAUCUUGGUUUAAUGAUUCAUUUUUCCGGUAAUGAUCUAACUAAUAAUUUCUGAUGUUUAAAAUGAAGCGUCGUUAAAGUUCCAAGUGAUAUAAAUGCCAUCGUUGCCUUAUUUAUAUCCUAAUUUUGAUCUUUUUGUCCGUCCUAUAUGAUGCUAUUUUAACAGCUAGACAAGUAACUCUAAAGGUUUCCUUUUUUUUGUGAUACUGGAGCAUCUGCAAGUGAUGUACUUGUGGGUUAUAUAUAGUGGUAGUUACUACAUGCAAGCCACAUAUCAUGUUUUUUUUCCCUGGUUUAUUACUUGUGCUUUAGAAUGAUAUUCUUCUAGCAUAUGCUUUUCAUUUUUCUUCAAGGCUAGAUUGAUAUUAAUGGGUGGCUUGUUAUAUGUGUGUGUGACAAACUGUGAGCUUGCUGACCUGGUUCUGCUACUUAGAGCUGGUUGUCACGGCCUUAGCGGUUCUGUUCGCAAAGUCCAUGCGGCGCCCGCCUUCCUGCUCGAAGAUGGGCAAGCCUUUGUCCCUAUUGCUAGUCUGACCUUCGCGUUCUACGACUAAGUAUGCAAAAGGAAAUGACACAGAGAAAGAGGCAAAGGUUCUCUCAAAAAGCUAAGUACUACACUACUUAAAAAAUGAGAAUUACAACUCACAUACACACUCUCUCUCUUGUGUUUUGACCUUAGCCAAACCCCACUAUAUAUAGGCUUCUAGAUACAUUGAAUCUAGCCACCCAACACACCCACUAACUCAUAUAUUAACUCACUCUCAUAAUGAGCCAUAAGCCCAAAAGUCACCCUAUAACUCAUGGGAGUUUCAUAACCUUUGAGUUUCCAUCAUUGAUGGGAGAGGUUAUAAAACCCUUCGUCUCCCCACAGCGGGUUGGGUUUGGGUCUCCUUGACAACUCGAUUCAACCCAUUUUCAACCCGUUUCGCUAGUAGAUUUGGGCCACUGUCAAGGAGAAGUCAGCGGGAAACAUUUUGUCCGUGACAUGGUGCUCUAAAGUUUUGAUGCAGACAUAUUUCAGCGAAGCCCCAGCUUUCUAACUCUUAGGGGUUGGCUACAAGUGGGUGAUUUCUUGUGGAAAUUCUGACACUUUAUAUGUUAUAGAUACUUUUAUCCAAGUUAAUAAUAGAUGAGUAGAUAGGAGAAGAUAUUAUGGUCUUAUAUCGACCACCUUAUGGAAAGCAGUUUUCUAUUUAUUGAGGGUCUGUACAAGGGAUGCAUAAACUUUUUAAUCUCUAUAUUAUUGAAACUCUCCACAUUAUAAUUUGUAAAAGACUUAUAUAAUUUUAUCUUAAAUCUGAUGUGACUCUAUUCUGAUCCGGUGUAAUCAUACUUGAUUGGCCCUUUUCCUAUUCAUAGAUUAGAGGAGCUUUAUUGAGUCUGAAAAAUGUAUGUCAGCAUUACAUACAAGUAGGAUUUGCCGUUGGCUGAGAAACAUUAUUUCUUUUGGCAUGUUGGCUUUUGCCCCCUCCUUUUUUGUCUAUCUAUAAUAAUCUAUGUCACUCAUGUUGGUUGUCCAGUGUUUUUUUAACCUUCCUCGUUCCUCAUUUCUUUUUUCUUGGUUGCUGCUAAUGGCUACAGUCCAUUAUUCUCUUUGUUAUGCUACUUGCAUUAAAUUAAAAUGUAAGGCUUCUGUUACGUCAUGUUGGCAUUAUCUCUAUUAUAGUACAUGCAUUGAGUGAAAAAAGUAGGUCUCUAGUGCAUCAUUUGGUCUAUAUACGAAUGAUGCCUAGCUAUGUUAUCGGAAAUCAAAUCGACCAUAAGAGCUUAGGUGUAUAUACCUCUUCAAUUUACUUCAUUGUCUUCUAUCUGUUUUGUGGCUUUUGCCCUUCCCUUCUUGUCUUCUCUUCUGUACUCUACUCUUUGAUCUUGCAUAAUUGACUAUUCAUUAGCUCAAUGGAGGCAACCUCGUGGACGAUCAUAAAGCUCUAUAGCAAAGUCUAUUUGACAGUUAACUAAGAAGUGUUGUGCUCUUCAUAAGCUAGUUUUUGCUGGUUUUUUGAGGCAUCUCAAACUGUGUUUUUAGAUUUCUUAAAGAAAUGCCUUUUCCGCCAAGUGCAUUUAUAUCAUCUUUGUUAGGCAGCUUGGGCUCAAAAUUGGGCCUAUUAUUUGUCAUACCAAUAUCAAUACAAUUGCGAAGAGAUCUAAUUGAGAUAGAGAGAUGCUUUAAAGCAAACCUUUUCUAUUAUGCGUAUGGUAAGUUACUGUUGUUCCGCACGACGGAUGAAUUUGGAACUAAAAUAUAGUUCCAAGGUUCAAUAUCGAAAUCAUUUCUCUGUGUUGACAAACAAUUCGAAACGCAUCGACUUAUUUCAGAGCAUGCUAAAGAGCAAAAAUUUGAAGCACUUCUUUUAACAUUACACUAUGAAUGUGUAAAAUACAAGAUUUCCAAUCCUAGCAGGAAAAUGAGGGAAAUGGACACUCAGUUUAAAGUGAAGCCAAUUAAAGGAGGCGCAGAGCUGAUCCUUUUAUCAGCAUUUCUUAAGGUUUCUUACUUGCUUCGGUCAAUGAAGCACUUCUCUUGUGUGUGCAACAUUACUGCUUUAAUAGUUUAAAGCAAAAUCCACAAAGCUCGACAUAUUAGAACAGCAUAGAUCAUUGAAAUUAUUGUUUAUUCUGAAGUAACUCUCUGGUUAAGAUCACCGUCUGUAUAAACUCUUGCUACCCUUUUGCAGGUGGCAGAAAGGGCAUUGUUUUUGUGGAACAACGACCACAUCGAGAGCCUAAUUAAACAACACCACAAGGUAAUACUACCUAUCAUCUUCCCCGCGUUAGAGAGAAACACGAAUAGUCAUUGGAACCAGGUUGUCCAAAGCCUCACGAUGAACGUGCGCAAGAUUUUCUCCGACCACGAUCCGGACCUGUUCGCAGAGUGCUUGAAGAAGUUCCAAGAAGAUGAAGCCAAGGAGGAGGAGGUUCAGUCUAAAAGAGAGGCCACGUGGAAGCGUCUAGAAGAAGUAGCUUCUUCAAAAGCCGCGAGCAGUGAGCCCGUGCUCGUUACUCGCACCAUGCUCCGCCAAUCUUCUUCUGCUUAAACUACUCUCGCCUGGUUCCAUGACUCGAUUGUACUCGAAUAUCUCAAGUGGGGUUUGAGAUGUGUCGAAAUGAAUUAUUUGCUCACCCUUUGUUGUGGAUUGUUUGGAUUGCUAGGUUCUCGAGGAUUGUUGAGAAUUGUAUAGGAUUGAACUGUAUAUAGGAAGUAUAUGGAAGCCAUUUCAAGCAACAAAGAUCCGAAAAAACUUGUGGGAGCAUACAUUUUAGCUGUUCAACAGCUAUAAAAGAACAAAAAAGGGUGCAUCUUAUCAUCUCUAGAUUUUUUUUUUUUUUUUUUUUUUUGGAGGUUGACUGUCUAUUGUUGCUGUAAUUUCAUAUAUGUCGGAUAAUGACUUAUUUUAUUAGUUUGCAUUUUCUUAAGUAGUUUAUGACCUACAACAGUGUUCAUUUGCCGUCGUUUAUUUGUUAUAUUUUAGAUUUUGCUUAUGCAAAAUUGAAGUGUUCCUUCUGAUCAUUGGUCUUUGGCUACAUAUUCACAUGAGAUAAAAACUGUAGGGGACGUUUUGUAAUCCCGCAACAAUAGAGCAUUUUGAAAUGGACCCUCCAAGUUUUUUAUUUUUUUUAAUUUUAUUUUGAGCCUUCUUUUGAUCUUUUCUUGUUUGGAUUUGUGUUGUUUUCAUUAGUUAAAUUUGGAUUGAGUUAAUAUAAAUGGCUUUGUUGAGUCCUCUUAGAUUGCAGUUUUUCAUGAGGUUAACGCAAUGGAUCAAAAUUUUUUUGUCGAAAACAUGCAAAAUUAUAAGAUGUGUGUGUGGCACAACAUUUCCCUCCUGUUCUUUUGAUAAUAAUUUCAUCAUCGAGUCCAUUUAUGAUUAUGUAAGAAUCUCUAAAGCUGUAUCCAAUCUUGCAUUGUAUCUAACAUCUACCUCAGCAAAAGGGAUCUUUUAUCGAAUUCUUCUCUAGUACACCACAAAGUUUGAGGUACAGAAGAAAGAGGAUAAAGAAAUGAAACAUGGAAGAUCAAAUUGCCAGAGAAUGCAAUACCAAACAACAUGUCAAGCUGUAAUGAGAAAAACAGGUGAAAUUGCAUAGACAACACACUUUCAUGUUACACAAUACUCCAAAACCGAAAAUAUCUCAACACACACAAUCUUACAAAUCCCCAAAGUGGCAGCUUUAUCAUCAUUUGGAUCUUAACAGUAUGAUUAUGAGUUCUGGUCCAUUUCUUCUUGUUUCAGUUUCACAGUUGAUUUACCGUCGCCUCCCUCAGGGUGAGCACUCGUAGCGGUAGCCGACAUUUCACACUUACCGCCCUCUUCCGUUGAUGCAAAAGCGCGUCGCGCACCAUGUCUAAGCUUUUGAAGUGUAGCCUCUGCAGAGAGGAGACCAGAAGGAAAAAUGUUCACCAGAAUAAGUAUGAGUGGAUCGCCAAAAUCAGUAUAAGCUAUUUAUAUCUACCAAUAGACUUCGUAAAACUUUAUAUUAAAUUGCUUUAUUAAUUGCUUUUUCGAAGGCUUUUCUUAUUUUUAUUUUGGUGUCCUGUCUUUUCUCUAUGCUAUAUUAUUGUGUUUUAUACUUUCACUCUUACGUUUUUUGUUUUCCCCCCAAAAACGUUUAUCGGGGGACUAUUAAAAUAAAAAUUUUUAACCGGGAUUAGGAUUUUUAAUAAACGUUUUUACCGGGACCGGGGUUUUGCAGUCUUUGUGUAGUCGCGGUGCGCUUGCUCUGACCUGUUUUACUGCUUUAAUUUGAAUAAGCCAGCUUUGUAAGAAUGGUACAAACUUUAUAUCACGGCGGUAUUAAAUAUUUUUAACUUGUGCUUCUUGGUAUUUUGGGACAUGUUCUGUUUUUCAAUCAUAUCUUGUUGCAUUUUCUAAGUGUCAUCUAUUUUAUGUUUUCCCCGAUUCACCGUUUAUACGGGUGACCUGUUCCACUUAGUAAUUUUCACUGGGUUAUGUUUAUGUAGGCGUAAUCGGUUUUUACCGGUUCCGCUUGCAUGGGCAGUCGCGGUGUAGUCGCGUUGCGUCCGUGGCGACUCGGUUCACAUGUUUAUGUUGUGCGGACUUGGUAUUUUGCACGAUUUAUGUUUUAUAAACAUAACCUGUGCCACUUACCAAGUGGCACAGGUUAUGUUUGUGGGUGUUGAAUCGGUAAAAACCGAUUCAGCCUAUAUAAACAUAACCUGUGCCACUUGGUAAGUGGCAUAGGUUAUGUUUACUUAACCUGUGCCACUUACUAAGUGGCACAGGUUAUGUUUGUGUGUGUUGAAUCGGUUUUUACCGAUUCAGCCUCCAUAAACAUAACCUGUGCCACUUGGUAAGUGGCACAGGUUAUGUUUUUAGAACAUAACUUGUGCCACUUACCAAGUGGCACAAGUUGAAUAUGUUAACCGGGUUGGGGCGGGCGCACCGCGACUGCACCGCGACUGCUCCGCCCCGGUCCCGGUAAAAACGUUUAUUAAAAAUGUGUCCCGAUAAAAGCUUUUAUUUUAAAAAAUCCCCCGAUAAACGUUUUUUUCGGGUUAUAUUUUAAAUUUUCACUCCUUUUUUUUCUUUUUUCUUUUUUUCUUCUCAUAUGACCAGCCUCUUAAAAUACAUUAAAUCGAUUAUUUAUUUUCUCGUCUUUCCGACUGUAGAAAACAUAAAAGAAAGUGAAAGUGAAAAACUCCGUCUUUCUCAUCUCCCCCUUCCCCGUCUGCCGUGUCGUCCGGUUCUCGCUACGACCCUUCAGCCUCCGCGACGGGCGGCGUACUAAACCUAAGCCUCGCUCGACGGGGGUUUUGGGGGUUGUGGGUUGGGGAGAGAGAGAUGCCAUAUAAGUAUGACUUCGACAAAGAUUAGGUUUUAAAUAUACUUGUCGUUUAUUUGGGGGCGUUAUUCUUUCCGGGACAAACUUAUGUACUUGUAGAAUAGAAUAAGGCAUAUAGAAAACGGCAUGAAUUUAUAUCAUAAAUUAUUUACUGCUCAUCAGUAAAAAAAGCUUUGGUCUAUUUAGUGGACCAUGCACUUUAUAUGACAUAGUUUAGUAUGUGCGGUUGCUGAUUGAAAAUCAAUAUGUUCUUUUAGAAAUAUGUGCCUUAUUAUACAACAACAAUAAUAAUAAUCUAUUGAAUAAGACUGCAGGUUUGUCUCCCUGCCGAAUUAAAUCGACAGAGGAGACAUCCGUAGUGAUGAAGUUGACGGCUUGUUUUUCUGAACUCGUCUUCUUGUACCUCUCCUCAAACAAGAGGAUUGAAAACUGACUUUAUCAACCGAGUAAGGAGAAACUAAAAGCAUAAGGGCAGUAAAGCAUCUCGGGAUUCUACUAACGUUUUAAGUAGCUAAACAAGCGUCAUUCUCCAAGCUGUAGUCAACGACAUGUAGAAACCCUUAACUUUUCUUACUAUGUUCAUUCUGGUUGUAGUAGUCAAAGUAUAACUCGAAGAGUACAUGGGGUUUAAAAUAAUUGUCAACCUUAACCUUCCUGCUACAAUCUAUCAACAAGUUUACUCCUUACUCCUUUUUUCUUUUACCCAUUUACAGGCUAAUGCUAUUACUUUCAGCUAAAGAAGACCGCAUAGGCCACCUAACCCUAGAAAGUCACCAAGGAAAGAAACUACGAAACUUUAUCGCCGCGCUUGACGACAUUAAGAGAUCACCGUCAAGAAUGGUAAUAGACUUUCGCAGUCACCAUCCAUGUAAUGCGAAAAUUGAAGAAAAAUCCCGGCUUAAGAUCUACUUAAGGCUUCACUUAACUUGACUAAAUUAACAAAAAGGCUCUUCCCUUGGUUGAAGGUUCAUUAUCUCUUACGAGACUGUAAAACAAUCGUCAAUCCAACCUUACGCAUUGAAAAAGUACGAAAACAAGAACGCUUCUUUUGGGUCUUUCUUUAUGUGAUCUCAAAUUGACUGUCACACUUAAACGGUUAAACGAAAGUUUGGUUCUUUCGUACUUUCUUUGAUCUAAAAGAUGAUUCUAAAAUAGAUAAUUUCUCGAGGGAGCGACAACCUUAAAUAAACACUAACAAUGUUCGUUGACAAACUAUUAAANUGGCGUGUAUGAUUUGAUACAGUAUAUUUCACGUACCAGGUGAUUUAUCUGGUUUCGAAAAAAAUGACUACUCGUCAUUUAUUAAAUACUAUAUUUAAGUACGGCAAAAGAUAUACGGAAUAAGAUAAGAUGUUCAUGUAUUCAAACAGGGCCUUUCUUAUUGCGGGGGUUUAUUUGCUGUUCAUAUAAAUUUUGGAUUAGAAACAGCUUCAGUAUGAAUAUACCGUAGAGAGAGAGGGGUUGGGUGUUGGGGGUUUUGGGGGCAGCUCGCUCCGAAUCCAAAUCAUGCGGCGGGCAGCGCCUCCGACUUCCCAGCAUCGCUCUUGGCCUGCUGUGCUGUCUGCCCCUUCCCCCUCUACUCUUUCUGCCUCAAAAAGUGAAAGUGAAAGAAAAUACAAAAGAUGUCAGCCUUUCUGCUCUUUUAUUUAUUAGCUAAAUUACAUAAAAUUCUCCGACCAGUAUACUCUUCUUUUUUUCUUUUUUCUUUUUUUUCCUCACUUUUAAAUUUUAUAUUGGGCUUUUUUUGCAAAUAGCCCCCUAAAAAAUUUUAUUUUCGAAAAUAGCCCUGUGUAAAAAUUAUUUGCAAAAAUGGCCCUGGCCCCGCCCCGUCAGCGCCACGUCAGCGCCACGCGGGCGGGGCUGGGCCAAUUGUAUAAGUUGAACACGGUGAACCAUUCACCGUGUUCAAUACAANNNNNNNNNNNNNNNNNNNNNNNNNNNNNNNNNNNNNNNNNNNNNNNNNNNNNNNNNNNNNNNNNNNNNNNNNNNNNNNNNNNNNNNNNNNNNNNNNNNNAAUUUUAUAAUAUAUAUAUAUAUAUUAUUUGAUUUUUAGUCAAAAAAAAAAGCCGAGCUUAAUUAUAAAAGGAUUCAUUUCUAUAUAAAGGUUUAACCAGAUCAAAGUCUAAUGAAUAAAAUUUUAUUAAUUAUUUUUUUAUUUAUAUCUAGUUUAAUUUAUUUAACUUAUUGUUCAUUGGCCGGCUCGUAAAUCAGCUCGUGCCAAACAUGAGCUGAAUUUUUCGACUCGAUAUUUUAACGAGGCAGUUCGCUCGUGUUCGCAAUUCAAAAGUUAGAGUUGGGCAACUUUUAGUUUCAUAAUGGAUGCUUUUAAGAGCCAGAUUUACUAUGUCGAACCCAUAAGGGCAUAUUUUUUUUUCGCACUCACAUGUCGCUUAAUAAUUGGCUUAGGAGCUAUGUAAUGCGUCGGUGCAAUUAAUUUUGAAACAAACAAAUUAAGGUUAGAAAUCAAUGGUGCAAUUAAUUGAAAGAAAAUGUAUGAUAAUGGUUAGUUAAAAAAGAAAANCUCCAUCUUUUAGGCUUGUAGAUGGCAAGCCACAUGAUACAGGGAAGCUGUAAAAACAGAUAUUAGAAAGGAUUAGCAUCGCAAAAUUUAUUGAACUGCGCAGUUUCUGAAAGAUUUUGGGGCUCACAAAGUAUGUAGUUGGGGCGAAUGCGAAUCCUCCGAAGAAUCCGAGCAGCCCACCGAAGAACGGGAAUGUUAUCCCGACGAACAUCGUGAAAGCUACAGAUAUUGGCGGUUGUAUUAAGUUAGCGGAGAGAUAAUUUCAUUGAUAUUUGCAUGUAAAAAGUAUCGGAAUCUAUGAAGGAGAAGAGGCAUACCGACGUAUACGGAGCGCGCGAUGAUUCGAAGAGCGAGACCGGGUGGGAAAUGAAGCUUCUUCACCAGCACAGUUUCGAUCAUGUCAAAGACAGGCAUUGCGUAGAUCUGCAUCGACAAAAACGCAUUUUCAUUUCUCGAAUUCUGCUACUGACAAAACUGAGAACAUCAAUAGUUGCAGAAUGCUGCAGCUGAACUAAGAGAAGACUGAUUUGCUGCCGAACACGAACGCGAACGCGCAGUUUGGUCUGGAAACAAUUCAAUUGGAAUAGUUUUUCAUUUUAUCUCCGAGUUAUCUCGCAUUCGGUUCGACAUCAGAAUUCAGAGCUAGUAGUAUUCCAAAGAACUGCAUUUGACGGAACAGCGGGAAUAACUUUCUCGAGUUUUACGGGACUUGCUGCAUUUAUUACCUGAUAGCUUCCGAUGACGUGGACGACGACCAUCAUGUUGGCCAUCGCGAUGAGCCACCUCGGCUUCUCGAGGGUGACGAGGAUGUUGUCGUCGACGCUGUUCCCGAAGGCCCAGUAACCGACGAGGGCGACGGGGAAGUAGCAGAGGGCGACGAUGAUGUAGGCCACAAUGACACCCUUCCACAUGGGCUUCUUCGACGGCUUCUCGGGGGUGGAGGGGAUGGUCGCCUGGAUCUCCAGCACGACGUUGUGGCCCGCGUACGCGAACGCGACGUCGCCCAGCGCUCCGAAGAAGUUGAGCACCGUACCGGCGGCGCUCGACGAUUUGUACCCGUACUCCACAUUGGAUUGCUUCCCUUUGUCCACAGAAGCUCCCCAUGCUAUGGUAGAGUAGCUGUAAAAUCGCGAAGUCACAUGAUACAUUACUCAACAGAGUACUAAAGAAGUACGAUACGGUGCGGUAGGAUACGAUUGUACAUAGCUGGAAAGUAGUAACUAAUAAUGAUGUGUAAUGAGGGAAAGUGUGUCACAUCCCGAUAAUUUCAUAUCGGAUAGGAAUGAUGAUAUGAUUGGACAUAUAAGAGAUUAGACGCUAGUAAUAAUAACUGGACUUAAGCAUUUUGAGCUGAUGGUUUAGACCCAACGAGUUAUUGUUGCUAGUGGGCUGGGUCGUUACAAAGUGGUACCUAAGAGACAUGACGGCAGCGGCCAAGGAGACGCCGGAGAUGGAGUUGAAGUUGGGGAGCUGCGAGAGAACGAAGUGAACGGAGGCGAAGAUCAUGAUGAAGUAGGUGAGUUUGAUGCUCUUGCAGCCGGGGCAGACGGUGUCAUGGAACUUCUUGAGGGACCUGCCGCCGGUGACCAUGUAGACGAUGUUGACGCCGACCUCGACCACCAGCUGCUGCGGCACGACGAUCCACAGCCCCAGCUUCUCCCCGAACGCGUGCUGCCCCAGCUCGUGGUACCGGUCGAACCGCUUCCCGGGCACCAUCUCGUGCAUCUCCACCAUCUGCCACAGUGUGUACAGCGUGAUGAUCCACGACAGUAUCAGCACCGCUAUUCCUGGUCCCCUGCAACAAAAUAAGUACAUCGUCAUACAUCGUCAUCAUAAUGUAUCUAUCCUCAAUAAAAUCAUCGUAUAUCGAUAUCAUAACAAUUGAAAUAAUUCAAUACUGAAUCGUUCUGUGUCUUAUUACGGUUCCAAAAAAAAACAAAAAAAAAAGAAUCAAAAAGAAUACGAUCAAUGUGUUCGUACCAUCCGAGUUCCGACAUAGCGUAGGGCAAGCUGAGGACGCCAGCGCCGACCAUGGCGGUGACGUUGUGGAAGGCCGAGUACCACCAUUUUGCGUUCCGCGACGACGUGAUCGGAAGCCAAUCGUCGACCGACUGCUCCUGCAGAAAAUUUUUUUACACCAGUUUGCAUUAGCUUUAGAAUAUUUGAACAUGCAAGACCAAACAAUUUCUCAUACGUUACAAAUUAAAGCGUGCACUUAAUAACAUACGUAUUUACGUACCAUGAUGAAAAGAGAUAGUACAAAAACUUAUGAAGAUACAAAAAGAACUUGUUCACAAAUCCUUCUUUCUUCUACUUUAUUUAUUUUAUAUAUAUAUAUAUAUCAUAUAUAUAAAAUUAAGCUUAAAAUCGUAUUUAUCCAAAAUGUUAUCUUAUUAACUAUAUUCAGAUAUAUCAAAGGUAACAAUUUAUUUUAAUGUAUAUAUGUAUUCUAUUUGGAUAGCCACAAAUAUUAUCAGCAAUGUUAAUUAAAUUAUAGUUAAAUAUCUUUUAUUGCUGUGAAAUCUUAAUUUUCUGAAGAGAUAUGUUAAUUUACUCGAAGCUUAUAUAGAAUCUUGUAAUUAAUUAGAUUUUAAUCUAAAUAUAUGCUUGAUGAAUCAAUUACCUAAAAUUCUAUAUGUAACCAAUUUUAAUUAAUCAAUUUUUAUAUUCAAAUCAAACACCUCAGAUCGAUCGGGUGAGAAUAUUGCGGGUUCAGAUCUAUAUAAAUAAGUAAAUAAAUAAAUAGAUAAAUAAAUAAAUGUCGCCACAUCAUAUGCGCCUUCUCAGAGCCGGAUUCGGAAUCUAAUUAAGGGGUGAUGGUAAAUAUCUAUUCUAAAAUUUAAUCAGAUAUAUCAGCAAAAUUACAAUUUCCCCCUUGUAGUUUGGCAAGUUUUACUGGAUCCUGCAAUGAAGAGUUAAUUACUGUGGUUUCACACUUUUUCACUUGAGUACCUUGUGUCAAUUUAGUAUUCUGUGGUUUUAUUAUUAUUAUUUUUUUCGUCAGCCCCUUCGUUAACUUUUUGUUAAAUUAUAUACAAAAAACUUCAGAUACCCCACCUAUAGUUUAUCGAAACAUUCACUUUAGUGCCUAUUAGUUUUAACUUUAUCACUGAUUUAACGAAAAAAUUAAUAGAAGGGAAUAACAAAAAAAUAUGAAAGUAAUACACUUUAAAUCACAUGGUAUUAAAGUGGGAAAGUGUGAAACCACAUAAAUGAUAUUUUAAGUAUUUCCUAAAAUAAAAUGCUCUCCAAGAUGUCCUAUAAAAAAAAAUCACUAUUCUACAUCUUUUUUAGGGGAUUAUAUCUAAUAAAUCCUCAAAAGUUUUAGAAAUAUCUAAUAUACUUUUGAUUGACCAAAAUAUCCUCGUUGAUUUUCGAACAUCUUUUCAAAUAUUCCAAAGCCCUCAGAUUUGCUAAUGUGAAUUGGGGUGUAGAAGAGUACUUUGAUAAUUUUAGAAUAAAUUUAAAAAUUUAGAAUAAUAGUCUUAAGCAAAAGCCUUUUUUUCUUAAAACGGCUUCUCCUUAUACUAAAACCAAAAACUUCAAAUAAAAAUUUUUGCAUUUCUUUUUUCUAUUAAUACAAAAGUUUCAGACUUUCUAAUUACCAAAUGUCCUAUUAUAUAAAGGUGCAUAUAAGAGUUAAAAGCAGAAACAGAACCAGAUAAGCUGGCCAAUUUAUUACCAAAAAGCAUUAUUAUUUUAUGGCUAAAUUACAGAAAACUUCACUGUCAAAACCCGAUUUUUCACUUUUCCUCCCUGUCACUUAAAAACCUAUAUUUUGCCCCCUUAUAAAAUGAAAAAUGUUCACAGAAGGGUACAGUGUGAACUGUGAUGAUAAAAUGACCAUUUUGCCCCUCGUCAUGUUCACAGGAGAGAAGGCUGAGGGCAUUUUUGACAUAAAAAAAUAUAUAAUAAUAUUUUAUAAACGAAACCCUAGCGGCUUACUAACGGCAGGGGGUUUUUCAUUUUAUAAGGGGCCAAAGUGUAGAUUUUUAAAUGACAGGGAGAAAAGUGAAAAAUCGGAUUUUGACGAGAAAGUUUUAUGUAAUUUAGCCUUAUUUUAUACUUCAUUAUAAAACUAAAUGUGCCUUAAAAUUUGGAAAUGAGCAUAGUGUAUUAAAAAUCCUUAAUUAACCUUAAUUAGUGGGGCACCUCAACUUGUACACCUCACCAACCCACAAAUAUAUCUUUGUUGACUUUAGUGAAUGAGAACAUAACAAGUCAAACAUAACAGUUAUUGUACAUGAUAAUAUAUAUGAAUACCAUCUCCUUAGAUAUAGUUCAAAUAGUUUAUGUAAAAUAUAUAAAUAUUAGGAGCCAGCUUUGCUCCAGCUCUAGCAUUGAAAUAUUGAAUACACCUGAUUUUUUCUUUUCUUUUCUUUUUGUUUUUUGUUUUUUGUUUUUGUUUUUUUGACCUACUCGGCUUAUUUUAAUAUUCUAUAUUAAGGUCUUUGAAAGCUCUUAUAUAUAUAAUACAGCCAAUAUAUAGAGGCUAUAGUAGUUGUCGCUCUCCAAGAUCAUAAGACUCAUCGACCCUAUUUUAAAAAAAUAGUAAUAUUUAAAAGAAAAAAAGUCACUAAGAGCCAAUAAUGAUGAGAAAAGCAAAGAUGAAUUCUAUGGGAGUUGCAAAGAGAAAAGAAACUUAGAAUUAAUAAUGAUGCAGCUAUAUAUAUAUAUAGUCAUGGAUGCUUUAAUUUGUCUAAGAGAAAAGCUAUGUGUUGUUCUCUUGCGAUAAUGAUAUGCUGAUAUAUUAAGUACAAAUUAUUUUACACUGUAAUAUAAGUUAGCAUAUAAUGAUCAACUGUUGAUAAGGAUCACCCAAAUGAAUGGAGCUUAAUUAAUUUGGUUGUUCACUUUAAUUGGUUAAUAUGCAAAAUAAAAGGGAAGCCACACAAAUUGCCUUCCCAUUGAGGCAACAUAUAUGUAGGAGUUUGUGGUGUUUGAUGAGUGUACAUGGAUCGUGCUAAAUCACCUAUUCACUACAUUACUAAAUUAACUUCGUUCAUUUUUAGAAAUGAAUUUAGCUGAAAAUAUUAAACAACUAGUUAAAUUUCGAACUUGAAAUCUCGAAUAUCAAUCAUUAUGUUUUUUACAAUUUGGAUUAGAAACGGUCGGUUAAUUUAAUUACUGUACAGCUAAAUGUGCAAAGUUGUGGAAAAGUAGGAUUCUACAUGGGACUAAAUAUGUUUUUAAUCUAAAUGCAAGUUUGUGCAUGAUAACAAAUGCAAAACCCCAUGAGAGAGAGAGAGAGAGAGAGAGAGAGAGGCAUAUAUACCUUGUUAGGUUUGGUAUAUUCUGGGGAGGUAGCUUGAGUUCCCAUGGCUCUCAAAAAUGGCCCAAAACACCACAAAGAGAGAGAGAGAGAGAGAGAGAGAGAGAGAGAGUAGGAUGGUUGUGGAAAUAUAAGAGGAGAGGGGAUUAAUGGAUAUAUAUAUAUAUACACACACACACACACAUACACCCUAACUAAUUAACUAUAAUAGCUUAGAAGAGGAAUUUUAGAGAAGGACAUGUAUAUACAUAUAUAAAUAACUAAGAUUAAUUAAUUAAGAAUUGAGUGGCCAUCUUGUUCUCAUUGAAGGUGAUGUACUGCUGAGUUGACUUCAGAGAGAGAGAGAGAGAGAGAGUCUCCCACUCCAUGUACUCCGCAAACUCUUUCUCAUACACAUCUAAAUUUAUCAUGUAGUAAAAAGAUUUAUGUUAUAUUUUUGUAGGGUAAAAAUAUAUUCUACAUAUAUAUAUGUCGGCUUCAAAAAGUUGAAAAAUGUUGUUUAUAUGAACUUCCAAUUUGUUUUAAUUUUGUGAAGUUCCAUAACUAGCUUUAUAUACUUUGAGGCAAUUAUUAUCUUGAUGCCUUAUUUCUUAUUUUAGAAUAACUACUAACUUUAAAAUUCAUGUUUAUUUUGUGACACUUUUUAAAUCUUAAUUUAUUGUAACUUAUGUCUUAAACUUUUAAAAUUAUUAUAAUCAAGUCUUAAAGUUCAAUUUAAUUGACUCAGUAUUGACGCAUUACUGAUGUAAAUCUAAUGUAACAUCUUAGUAACCUAGACAUCACCAAUCAUUUUAUAUUACCGCUAUAUCAAUAUUCAGUCAACUAAAUUUAGUUAUAGGACUUGAUUGUAGUAAUUCUAGAAAUUCGAGCAAAAAAAUUUUACUAAAUUAAAAUUUGAAGACCAAAAUAUUACCAAUGUUAUAGGUUGGUAACCAAACGUUACUCUUGUGUUUAUAUUUUAGCUGGGUAUAAUUGAGUCAAAGUUAGAGGACCCAUAUACUUUUCCACAGGGUCUUAUAUGGGGAACAGUGUGGACACAUGGAUAUUAAAUGAUGUGAGAGAACUAAGAGGGAAGUAAAUUAAUUUCCUACAAUUACGCUAACUUUUAGCAUAAUUUAUACCUUAACAUUAUUUUCCCUAAUCUUACCACGUGACAGCCUAUCUUUCACCCUCACUUGCCCCUCUUUUGAACCAAAUGGCUAAGCAGUCUCUUCGAUUUUCCUUUUCUGUACCGUCUACCUCUUCGGAUUUUCGUCUUAUUAAUUUUUUUUCAUAACGUAUGUCUCUUCGACUUCCUAUCUCAUAAUUCCUUUUUUGUAACGUCGCUACUUCCACUUCCCUCUCAUUAGUUUCUAUUUUCUAAGAAUCGUUGCCCGAGAAGCUUGUGGGCACGGUAAAUGACGUUCUCGACAACGACCUCGCCUACUACGUCCGCUCCCCUCAAGCCCGCAAGCGCACCGCCCUCGCUCUCACUGUCAACGUCGAGUGAGUCGAACUCUAACCCUAGCCUCGAACCUUUCUCCCUCGAUGUCGACCACUUAUAUUUGUAAUGUAUAGGACUUGCCGAAAAAGGGUUGAAGGCGCUAUGAUAUUUCACGAAAGCAUCGGUGUUAGUAGAGAAUGCCCUAAAUGAGNAAAAAAAAAAAAAAAAAACUAAAAAUCCUAUUUAAAAAGAUACUUUUAUUCACAAGAUUCCUCUAGGUGGAAAGUAAUUAAAAUUAAAUCAAGAAGUAACAAAAUUCUCCCACUCCACUAUCAAUAUCAUAAAUUAGUGCUUAUAUAAUAAUGAACUAAUUUAGGCUUAGUUUGGUAUUGAGGUCUAUUUAACGCUAUUAGAUAGAAUGGAAUUGAGAAAAAGCAUAUAGGGAUACACUUCUGCGUUCUCCGAUGAAACCGCAGAAAAUAUAUCGUAAACCGCAAUAUGUGUAAUGCAAUAUUACGUACGGAAACAAAUAGGAUAUUUUUAUAUCGUCGUUUCUCACUACACGUAACACAAUCUUCCUACAAUUCUAAACGAAGUCUUAAUAUAAGUAAUUUUUAAAAAUAUAUAUAUUAAGUUUAUUUAUAAAUGGAGAAAGGAUCAUAAUGAAAUUUUUAUAACCGUUGGAUUUAGACAUUGAUCAUAGGCAAACCGCCCUGCAAUUUAGGCAGAUUAUAGGGGCCAGUUGGCAACUUGUGACUUAAAUAACAAUGUUUGGCUUUCAAGGCAAGUACUACUUGCAAAAUAUUCCAAUAUUGUUACAAGUGUAGUGCAAAUUAUACAUAACGUGUAGGCCCUAAGAUUGAGAAAUUGUUUCUGCACAUGGUAUACCGUCGAUAACUUAUCUGAAGUAUGAAUUCUUCUGAAUCUUGCUGCACGAUCGUUCAAAAUUUUGAUUUUACUAUCCAAUCUUCCAAUUUGUUUAACUUGAGUCGGUCGGCGGUAUUCUGACUUCAAGAUUAGAAAUAUAUUAACAUUUAAUCACUUCUAUGCUAGCAAUAUAUUAAUAUUUAAUCAACUAAAUUAGGUUAUAGGUCUUGAUUAUAAUAAUUCUGAAAGUUCGAAUCAGAUACUAUAACAAAUUAAAGUUUGAGAAUCAAGGCGUUGCAUACCUCUUAGUUUGAGGAUCAAACGUGCAAUUUACUUAUUAGAGAAAAAAAAUAUUAUGAGACUAAGUGAACAACAACUACACAAUAUUAUCCUCGUUAUUUAGAGCAGUUGGUUGAUAUUCCGACUAUUAGAGAACCAAUUUCGAAUUCAAAUCUCGCUUCGAGUAGAAAUAUUACGUGCGUUGUCGGCCACGUACUACCACCAUAUACUUCUUUAAAAAGAAGGACUAAAUGACAAAAUCUACAAUGUCAGUGGGGCAACUUGCAAUUUUAAAAGAAGGUUGACUUUGACCUCAAAGUCAAACGAACUUAUCAAUAUGACGUUCCGCGUUUCCUAAGAAAAAGCGGCGACGAGUUAUUUGACUUGUCCAAACCAAAAAAUAAAAAAAUAAAAUAAAAUCAAUUGAUUUCAAAUAUUUGAAUUUUAACUUUUAUUUAACUCUGAAAUGAAAAUGAUCUAAUCCUAUUUACGACUCAAUUCGGCUUAAAAUUUUUGACUGAUUCGUUUCAGAGUAAACCACUUAAAAUUCUAUUUUACAAAUAACUCGCCUUUCUUUACGUUCAUCACUCUCAUCUCUCUAAAAAUUCGUGGUGUUUAUUUUUAGACGAUUUGUUAUUUCAAUGCAAUUCAAUUUUAUUAUUUAUUUUUAUUCUAAUCAUGAACCAAAUUUGUUCUAAAACACGUGCGCUCUCCACAGGCAAAAUCCUCUCUCUAUUAUAAAUAAAAGACCAUUUUUUAAUUUGAAACUCUAAUUAAGUUGGGUGCUUUGUGGGCCACUUCUCAUAUUAUUCUAAAAACCAAAAAAAAAAAAAUGCUAAUAAUAAAAAGUUGUGUCUAAAAGGAAAACACUAGUGGCCAAUUUGUUGUGUGGAUUGCCUUUUAGUUUCUUAAAAUUUUUAAUUUAUUUGUACUUGAGUUCUCAAACUAAUCAAGUUUGAUAAGAAUAAAAAUCGCUUCAUCUUUAAAAUGGAUAUUAUUUAUAUUUAAAAUAGUAGUCCCGUAGAACUCUUUCUACAUUUCUUUGUUCUUAUACAUACAUACAUACAUUCGAAGAGAGCGAAAAAGAAGGGUAUUUUUCUCCGAAAAUUAUAAAAUCAGAGUUUUCAAUUAAAAUCCAAAAAAUAUUAGGAAUUAGUAUCGCGAAAAUUAUUUUCUAUUUAGAGUAAAUAUGUUAUUUCUGGUGCACAUUCCCACCCCAUGAUUGUAAUGGCCAUGAUCAAGAAAUGUUAAUGACCUACACUAUAGUAUAUAUAGUAUUAUUGUUUUACAAUAAAAAUUGGGUGUAUAAACUGACUGUCCCUAGAGCAAGUGGCAAAGGACUUGAUGGUUGGUACCCGAGGUUCCAAGUUCGAAUCCUAGUUGAUUCACAUUUUCAGCUAAAUUUAUUUCUAAAUAAAAUAAACGAAGCGGGUAGCAUGUUACCUAUCUCUCAAAACAAAAAUUAGGUGUAUAAAUCAAGGGAAUAGAUAAUUACAAAACAAGUUAUUUUCUUUUUCUUUUUCUUUUUUUUGAGAUAAAGUUAAUACGUUACUCGCUUCAUUCAUUGAAAGUAUGAAUUAAACUACAAGGAUGAGGCAACUAUAGGCCUCAAGCAAGGUGGGCGAAAAAUAAAAAAUAAAAAAUAAAAAAACAAAAGUUAUUUAUAUGAGAUAAAUUGACCCCACGGGUACUUAAACUACUUGAUUUUGCUGACAGCUAAUAGGGGGUUCGUCGAAGUCCUCCAAAAGAUCACAUUGUUUCUUACCUCCCAAAUAACCCACCAGCAAGCUAUAAGUCCAGUCAGUCCGUCGUCUGUGUCUGACGCCCUUUUCUAAUCUUCCACAUAUCUCAAACCAAUUUCACGUUGUUUUCAAUAUUCUCGAAUUGGAUGCCGUCUAAGGUCACCACCAUUAGGAAUCUAGUAAACACGUACUGUGUGAAUAAAUAGUCUACUAAACAAAAAAGCAGAAGAUAUUUUAGAUAUUUAAUAAUGCAUGACCUUAAAGAUGGUCGUUGUGUCGCGUCUUUAUUCGAAUAUUAAUAUUUUUCUCUAAAAAAAAAGAAUGAUAAGGCAUCGGAUAAGUCGACGGAAGGUUCGAGAAUUGGGAGUUUCUGUCACAUCGCAUUUUAUUCAGAUAUUAGUGCCCUUAACUAUCAACAAGAUGUUGCAUCAUUUGAAAUUCCCACGCAAAAAGAAAAAAAAAAAAAGGAUUGAAUUUUCUCAUGAGGCAAUGACGAAGAAAGAAUAUGGAGUAAGAAGAAGCACAACAUUCUCAGAUAAAGUAAUGGUGUGAGAUGUUCUAAACAAGUUAAUUACAGAGCCCUACGAAUUGAUGCAUGUUUUCUUUUUUAUUUUCCUUUUUUUUUUGGCUUGUUAUUUUUGAAUUAGGUUUAUUAUGUGGAACAUCAAGCAAAUUAAUUAAUUACUCCUGCAAAAUGUUCGGAAAUUAUAUUAGAAAUUUCAGAGUGUAUGAAAGGGGAAGAACAAAUUAAAAGUGGUCUUAGUUUCGAUUAUUGGAUACACUCACCAAAACUUGCACAAAAAAUGGUCUCUAGUUUAUGUUCUCACAAUCCGUUUAGUAUCAUGAGGUUCAUAUAUUGUUAAUGAAUAUAUAAAACAUUAGAGCAAAAUAUUAUAAGAAUAUAUUUAUGUAUUUUAGAAACCGCAGAAAGUAUAUUUUAGUCGAAUUAUUACGAUACGUGAAAUAAAAUAUUAUAUUUUUUAUCAUACUUUUCCAUUUCAAAUAAGACAGUUUUUUCGCAAUCGUAAAAUAAGAUUUUUUUUUAGAAUUUUAGUUAAAAAAAAACCACCCUUUUCAAGCUUUUAUUAGUUAAAAAAUAAUUAAUACGACAAAUAAAGAAUNUUUUUUUUCUUAUUUUUGGGUUUGUUUUCUUAUAGAAGUUCGAGGAACCAUCACAAUUAAUAAACGUAGGAAUUUGAUAGAUAGGGAGUCAGGGUUCACACCGGUCAAAGUCAAUGGAUUGUAUUCUUUUUGACUCAGUAGUUUCCUAGAAAUGCCGUGCUCUUUCGUGGACUUAUCGCGAUGUACGUACCCGAUGUACCAUACCCAUUUAACCUUUUUCUUUCUUUUUUUUCGAACUCUUGAAAAUUUAUAUUUUGUUCUUUCAAAAAGUAAAAAAUAUUCACUUCGGUCUUUGCCAUUAGUAUUUCAUUAAAAUUUCAUUUAUAUUAUAUUAUUAUAUAUAUUUUAUACUCAAAAUAUUUUUAAAAUUCUCAUCUCAGAUGCGUCUCUUUUUUCCUAACUGAUGUUCUCGGCCGCACCGCCUUAACCUCGCCACCUCUCUGUCCGUGCCCACACACACGCCCUCACCCUCCUCUGCCGCCUCACCCUCGUCCUCACCCACCUCUCCAUCCACGUCCAUCUCGAUCUCCUCCUACAGUCACCGAAAUAGAGGGGCAACGAGGGUGCUGGAGGAGCGCGGGAGUAGGUAGAGGAAAUGGAGUCGGAUAUGGGAUCGAGGGAGGCAGGAUUGGGGAGGAGGCGAAGAGGAUGAGGGGCAAUUCGGUCACUUUGUUAUCAGAGUUAACACUGUACCCCCAGAACAUUUUUUAUUUUUUAAAGAGGCAAUAUAUAAAUUUUUUAAUGAUAGAGGAGUAACUGAAAAAUCAGGUUUUGAUAGAAUUUUUUUGUAAUUUAGCCUAGUAAUAAUUAUACUGUAGUUAUAUAUAUAAGAAUUCAAUUUCGACGUUUAGUUUGAUAUAUUUGAAUUCAACUGCUACAAUUGAAACUGUAUGAGGGCACCCAACUACCAUUACAUUUAAAUUGACUGUAUUUCCAACUGCAGCAGUUAAGAAAAAUAACUUUAAACAAGAGAGUAAGCCUACCUCCUUAAUUACAUUUUAAAUCAAUUAUAGAUUUUUUUAUAUUCGAGGUAAUCUUAUCACAAUAUAUAUAAAAUAAUAAAAUUUUACAAACAUACUUUUCACUACAUGCAAUCAAACAAAUCAUUGACAAUUGUAGUACUUUUUAUUACAUUCAUCCAAAAGAGAUAAACAUAGUUGUAAGUGUUGCAUCUCGGACGACGCUGCAUUUCACAUUGUAUAAAACCAAACGUCCCCUUGGAAUCUGUUUGUUUCACCGAAAGCAGAAAGGGGUGGUAUCACUUUCGGUCAUAAAUGCUUACUUUUGUUGUUUGAUUUUUGGUAACUUUAUAUUUGGUUGAAGUUAAUUACGAAAAAAGUACACGAAAAUUAAUGAUAAAAUAUGAAUCUUUCUCUCAUGCCUUUAGUUUUUAUAUUAUUCAUUUUCUGACAAAUAAAUAACAAAACAGGUGGAAUAUCGGUCCUACAGCUAUACAAGCAAAUGGCCCAGCAAAAGUAAUUUUUGUCUUAACUUUAGUUCAUUUGAAAGUCUACUUCAAAUUUUGAAGCCUAUAUAAGCCCAUACGAGUCAAUGAGAAAUUUAUAAAAUUGAAAACAAUUCAUUUUGCGUGCAAAAGGAAGUAAUUUUUUGAGAGAAAGGUAGCACGCUACCUGUUUCUUUCAUUAAGUGAAUUUAGCUACAUAAAACGAGGCAGCAAAGGCCUCGAGGGGCAACAAAAAACAACGGAGACAGCAAAAAACAAAAAAAGGAGAAGUGUAAAGAUGAAAACACGAAAAGACGAAAACACGCGUCAAAGGAAGGAAGCAACAAAUAUCAUCCUCACCCAACUCUAUAGAAAUUGGCCCACUCUUUCAUUAGUACUCCGACACGAUGGGCAGUAGAGAUAGCGUUCAUUGGUAACUUUCGAAAAAUUACGUUGUUUUUUUCACACCAGAUCAACCACCACAUGGCUGCCACGAGUAUCUGAGCUUUCACAGUGUCAGCCAGUGACCCCUCCCCUGACAACUCCUUCCAGGCGAUAGUGACGUCCUCAGUGGAGGGUGAAACGUGAGAGUCUUUGAGGAGCGAAAAAAAUAUGAACUUGCUAACUACACAUCCCACCAACAAGUGAUCAACUGUUUCCAGACUAUCGGCACACAAGACACACUAGUUAUUUCCUGACUAUCUCCUUUUAAGCAGAUUGUCCACGGUAGGCAAUCUUUCUUUUAAGGUUAACCAGAGAAAAAUUUUGACUUUUGUCGGAAUUUGCAAUUUCCAAAUGGCAGGCGUUGCAAAAUGAAAUAAUUGAGACACAAAAUGAAAUGGUUGCAUCUUCUCCAUAAUACAAAAGGGGACAGAUGCUUUAGCUCUAAAUAUUUUUGUCACCACCAGUAAUUGGACCAAUAUGUUGUAAAUUAAAUUCUCUACUCUCUUGUACCCCUUAGUAGAUGUUAAUUUCGUCCACGUACCACUUUUAUGCAUUUUUAAAAAAAUAUAAUUGGGCACCACGUCCAAUUACUAUUUUUUCAACAAAUAAUAAUGUACUGAUAUGUAGAUUUAUACUAUAUAAAUUAAUAGUAAACUUUUGUAGCUUAUUUUAGCGACGAUGUCCAAAAACCUCCUAAUAUUUUAUUUUAUUCUUUCUUUCUGAAUGGAAGAACCAAAAUAAAUAAAUAAAUAAAAACCCUCAUUUCUCCCCUUUAAAUUCGGAGUUUGACCCAAAUGUGACCGUUAAGACCGUUACUCUGACCAUUUCAAAUAUGACCAAAUUUGGUGGGAAAUGGAUUCCCUAUACCUCAACUAUAUAUAAAAGAGCUUGUAGGGGUUUCUAUAAAGAACAAUACAAUAAAAUAACAAGCCUUAGUCUCUCUCUCUCUCUCUCUCUCUCUCCUUGUUCUCCUACAGCUGCUGCUCCAAUGGCUUCUUCCACCAUGAAAAGAUGGUUGAGGCCUGAGGUAAUUAACCGUCUCCGCUUCGCCCGCCAAGUGUUUGUUGUUUCGUCUCAAUCGAGAGGAGUUACUGCUUGUUUCUGGUUGUUACUGCUCACCGCAUUACAGAAUCAAAAACUAAUCUAUUAGUUUACGAUAAUUGUAGAGGCCCCAUAUGUUGAAAAUUGCAAGUUUUGGACAUCAGUUUCUUGUGAUAUUUAUUCGCAGAUCAUUUAGAUAUUUUAGACCAUAUCUAGCAGAUUACUUUGUAUUUUAAGAUGCCUAUAAUUGUUGUUUCCGCACGGCUGUUCUCGAUGUUUAAUUUUGUUUUGUGGUUGAUAUUGUUAUUGAAAACCCAUACCUAGUUCUCUAAAAGAAAAAAGAAGAUAAACGAUUCAUGAUAACAUCUGCCAAUCAUGAUUUAUUCAGAUAUUGCCUAUUGUGCCUAUUUUUAGAUCUUAUUCUGAGAUAAAAAUGCUUCCAUUGUUUUCGAAAUCCCUUUUGAAUGUGCAGGUGUAUCCACUCUUCGCAGCGGUUGGCACCGCGGUUGGCAUCUGCGGUAUGCAGCUGAUUCGGAACAUCACUACCAACCCGGAAGUGAGGUAUUUAUAUGUAUAUUUCUUCUUAUAACAUCAUUUGAUCUCACGAGUUUAAAAUUAGGUCUGUUUGGAUGUUCCAUAUCAUGUCAAGCAUACGUUAAUUGGUCGGCGAGGAGUAUGAAAAGAUGUCUACAAUUGCAUAGGAUGUGGAGCAUGUCGCCUUUUUUUUCUGAAUCUGUUUUCAUCGACAGGGUAACCAAACAAAACCGAGCAGCAGGAGUUCUUGAAAAUUUCGUAGAGGGAGAGAGAUACGCAGAACACGGGCUCAGGAAGUUCGUGCGCAACAAAUCCCCUGAGAUCAUGCCGUCCGUGAAUGGCUACUUCUCAAAUCCAAAAUAGGAGAUUAUUUUCAGAAGAAUUUCAUUUUCUGAGAUUCAAACUUGUGUUGUAUUAUCAGGUUGAGUAAGUAUGGCUCCACUGUGAAAUUGUACAUGAUCUCAGUGAUAUUUUUUGAAAUAAAGGUUUGUUGCGAAUGGCUCAGCAGUAGUCUUAAGAACAUACAAGUAAAUGCUUCGGCAUUAGUGAAUCGAUAUAAGAAUUAAACUUCAAAAAUCAGAUGUAAUUAACUUGUUACUUGAAUUACAAGACUUUUGUACGAUGUUAGCGCGACUGUAUACAUGUUUAUCAUUGACUAACUCAUAGAAUGAUAUUCACAGCUAUGGAAACAAUCUCCUGCCUCUGUUACUUUUCAUGUAAGUUCCGAUUGAUGAUCACAUUUUGACCUUCCGAUAAACUCCAUUACUAGCCUCAAAAAAGCUGAUGUUUUAUCUCCAAGUAGGUGAGAAGGAGAAUCGAACUCCAAGAUUCUCCCUGUAUCGGAUAAAAAGAGAUGAAAAGUCGGAUUAGUUGCAACCAUAAUGCACUAUUCUCUUUAAAUUUAUAUAUGUUUGUGAGAAACUUUUAACUUUUUUCUUCUUUCUUGUUGCCGAUGAUCCUUAACUUCAAAGAAUCAGCAUUUCGACAACAAAAGAGAAAGAAAAGUAUGAGCUCGCAUAUGCACAUGCAUGUACGCAUUAAGAGCGAAUGAAUGUAUCGAAGGAUUGUCUUGCAUACCAUCCUCGAGUACGAGAACAAGGUCGCUGUCGAUGACAGUGGGUAUGCGGUGCGCGACGGUGAUGACCGUGCAAUUAUUCGUCUCACGUCGUAUGGUGCUCUGAAUGAGAUUGUCAGUCACAGCGUCUACAGAGGCGGUAGCUUCGUCCAGCACGAGAAUCUUCCUCUUCAUUAGCAACACCCUUGCCAAGCACACAAGCUGUCUCUGCCCCACACUCCAGUUCUCCCCAUCUUCUACAACUGCAAUGCAAAUCCAUUUCUUUAGUAACACCAACUACACAAAGAAGAACAGUAAUGUAAAUUAGCCCAAGUUUUUGAAAGAAGUUGUUUCCAAUCACCUGGUGCAUCCAGCAAGCUCUUAUCUUCCUUCACUAUUUCAUCGAGACGGCACUUCCGCAGAACCUGAAAAGUUAUGAAUUUAAAGAAAUUAAGUUUUUCAGGAGCACAUACUAGAUUACGAUUCUAAAUUAUCACCACAUCUGUUUACCUCCCAGAUUUCCAAAUCAGAGUGCUGUUGUAGGGGAUCCAGGUUAGUUCUCAGAGUUCCUUGAAACAGUGUUGGUUCUUGGGGUAUUAUGCUCAACUUGGACCUCAAAUCAUGCAAACCUAGUCGCGUAAUGUCUGUCCCGUCGAUCAGUAUCCUUCCUUCUGUCGGCUCUACCACUCUGAAUAGAGUUUGUAUCAGUGUGGAUUUGCCGCUACCUGUUCUACCAACCACUCCAAUUUUCUUCUCCGCGGGGAAGGUGCAACUUAUACCUUUGAGAACCAUGGGAAGGCUAGGACUGUACUGAACAUGGAGAUUAUCAAGCUCAAUUGUUCCAUAUUUAGGCCACUGUUCCGCAGGUCGGCAAUCCUCGAUAACUAGUGGAGCCUCACUUGGUAUGUUAGAUAGUUGAAGAAUCCUCUCUACGGAUAUCAUCUUGUUCUCUACAUUACACAGGUUCCAUAUCACCCAGGCCUGUAGCACAUUUAGAUUCAGUCCGUAGGUCGCCGCGAGCCCCGCGAGGCCUGUGAACACAUAACAUUACUCAUGACUCACUCUAACCUUUAAUGACAUGAAUUAGUACUUAUCGAAGUGGAUUGCUCUUCUUAUGGGAACUUACUAGGAUCGACAGAAUUCCUCGGUAUCGAGACUAGAAUGAUGAGGAGAAGAAAGAAGACGAGGUUAAAGAGGAAGUUGAUGCGGACGCUUAGCCACUCCAUGGUCGCGGAAUUGUGGAAGGUGACAUUCGUGUUUCUCACCACACGCUAACACAAUUUUCCUUGCAAUUCCAACAGAAGCCUUAUAUAAGUAAUUUUUAAAAUAUAUAUAUUAAGUUUAUUUAUAAAUGGGAGAAAGGUCAUAUGACAUUUUUUCACACUUGGAUUGUAGCAUGAUCAUAAGCAAACCUGCCCUGCAUUUUAGGCAGAUUAUAGGGGCCAGUGGCAACUUGUGACUUAAAUAAACAAUGUUUGUUUCAAGGCAAGUACUACUUCUGGCAAAAGUAUCCCAAUAUUGUUACAAUCUGUAGUGCAAAUUAUUACAUAAUCGGAGGCUAAGAUUGAGAAAUUCGUUUUCUGCCACAUGGCUAUACCAUCCCUAACUUAUCCUGAAGUAUGAAUUGCUUUGAAUCUGCUGCACGACGUUCAAAAUUUUGAUUUUUGCUAAUCCAACUCUACCAAUUUGUUUAACUUGCAGUCGUUCGGUACUCUAACUUCAAGAUUAGAAAUAUAUUACAUUUUAAUCACUUCUAUGCUAGCAAAUAUAUUAUAAUUUAAUCAAUUAAAUUAGAUUAUAAAUUUUUGUUAUAAUAAUUCUGAAUAUGUUCGAAAUAACAGAUACUCAUAAAAACAAAUUUAAGUUUGGAGAAUCAAGGCGGUCUGCAGCUAACCUCUUAAGUUUGAGCGAUCAAAACGUGGCAAUUUAUUUUGAUUAAAGAAAAAAAUAUUUAUGAGACUAGGUGACAACGAACGUAACAUCAGUUAUCUCGGUUUACUUACAGCGUUUGUUGAUAUUCGACUAUUAGGAACCAAUUUUCGAAAUUCAAAUCUCGCUUCGAGUAGAAACUAUUACGUGCUUGUCGGCCAAGUCACUACCACCAUAUACUUCUUUAAAAAGCCAAAGACUAAAUGACAAAAUCUAGCAAUGUCAGUGGGGCAACUUCAAUUUUAAAAGAUGGUUUGUACUUUGACCCUCCAAGUGCAAACGAAACCUUAUCAUAUUGACGUUCCUGCGUUUCCUAGAAAAGCGGGCGACGAGGUUAUUUGACUUGUCCAAAACCAAAAAAGGCGGUUUAAAAAAUAAAAUAAAAAUCUAUUGAUUUCAAUAUGUGCAUAUUAGCUCUCUCUAUUUACACUUAUGAAAUAAAAUCUAUCCUAUCCCAUUUUUGGGUCAAUUUCGGGCCUCCCUAAAAUUUUCGGACUGAUUCGUUUCAGAGUAAACACUUAAAUCUCUAUUUAAAAUAACUAGCCUUUCUAUAAAUUCAUCACUCUUCCUCUUUCUAAAAAUUCUGGUCGUUAAUUUUUAGAAUGAUUCGCGUAUUUCAAUGCAUUCAAUUUUAUUAUUGUAUUUUAUUCUAUCCUGACCAUUCUUGUCCCUAAAAUUACGUUGCGCACUCCACAGGCAAAGUCCUCUCUCUAUUAUAAUAAAAGACCAAUUUUGAAUUUGAAACACUAUUAAAGUGGGCUGGUUUUAGUGGGCGACUUCUCAGUAUUAUUCUAAAAACACAAAAAAAGAAAUGUUAAUAAUGAAAAUUUUGCGUCUAAAAGGAAAAUAGUGGCCAUUUGUUGUGUGGAUUGCCUUUUAGUUUUCUUAAAAUUUUAAUUUAUAUUGUACUUGAGUUCUCAAACUAGUAAAACAGUUUGAUUAGAGUUUGAUAAGAAUAAAAUCACUUUAUCUUUAAAGAUGGAUAUAUAUAUUAUAUUUAAAUUAGUAGAGGCCUCAUAGAACUCUUUAUUACAUUUCUUUGUUCUUAUAGCAUACAUAAUAUCAAUAAUUCGACGAGAAGCGAGAAAAGAAGGGUAUUUUCUUCGAAAAUUAUAAAAUCAGGUUUUCAAUUAAAAUCCAAAAAUAUUACGGGAAUUAGAUAUCCGCGAAAAUCUUUCUAUUUAAGAGUACUAUGUUGUUUUUGCGUGCACACAUUCCCACCUGUUGUGAUGACCUGAUCCAAGAAAUGUUUAAGACCUACACAAUAUGAGUUACUAUAUAGUAUUAUUGUUUUACAAUCAAAAAUUGGGUGGUAUUAAACCGCCUGUUCCCUAGAGCAAGUGGCCAAAGGACUGGUGGUUGGUACCCGAGUUCAAAGUUCGAAUCCUGUUGAUUCAAUUUUCAGCUAAAUUUAUUUCUAAAUAACAAUAAACGAAGCGUGGGUAGCGUGUUAUCUACUUUCAAACAACUUAUGUGCUAUAAAUCAAUGGGAAUAGAUAAUUACAAAAACAUGUUAUUUUCUUUUUAUUUUUCUUUUUUUUGAGUAAAGUUAGUACGUUACCGUCGCUUUCACUUCUCGCCACCGUCCAUCCCGCAUCUUCAACGCCUACAAGGAUGAGGCAACUAUAGGCCUCAAGCAAGUACGUGGCGGAAAACAAAAAAAUAAAAAAUAAAAAAUAAAAAAAAAAGUUAUUUAUACUGAGAUAAAUGAUCCACGCGGUACUAUAAAACUAUUUGAUUUGCUGACAGCUAAUAGGGGGUUCGUCGAGUCCAUCCAAAAGAUCCACAUUGUUCUUACCUCCAAGAAACACCAAAGCUAUAAUCCAGUCGUCGAUCGUCUGUAGUUGACGACCUUUUCUAAUCUUCACAUAUUCAGACAAAUUUCACGUGUUUCAUACUUCUUAGGAGCUGGACUGCGUCUAAGAUUGAUCACUAAUUAGGAUUAGCCAAAACCCCCCCUCCUUACUGCUGUGGAAUAAUGAGUUAUCUAAACAAAAAAGCAGAAGAAUAUUUAGAUAAUUUAAUAGUGCAUGACCUUAAUAGAUGUCGUCUGUGUCGCGUUUUAUUUAGAAUAAUUAAUAUUUUUCUUUAAAAGAAAAAGAAUGUAACGCAUCGGAUAAGUCGACGGAAGGUUCCCGCGCUUGGGAGUUUCUCGCUCACUUUCGAACUUUUAUUCAGAUAUUAGUGCCCUUAACUAUCAACAAGACUGCUGAUAACAUUUGAAAAUUCCCACGCAAAAAGAAAAAAAAAAAAAAGGGAUUGAAUUUUUCUACCAUGAUGAAUGAGAAGAAGAAUACGGAGUAAGAAGAAGCACAACAUUUCUCAGAUAAGUAAUGGUGUUGAGAUGUUCUAACAAUGUAAUUCAGAGUCCCUACAAAGUUAUGCAUGAUUUUGCUUUUUUAUUUUCCUUUUUUUUUUGGCUUGUUAUUUUGAAUUAGGUUUAUUCAUGUGGACAUCAAGCCAAAUUAAUUAUAUUAACUCCUGCAACAAUGUUCGAAAUUAUCAUUAGAAUUUCAGAGUGGUGGUGAAAGAGCGCAAGACACAAAUUAAAAGUGUGGUCUUACAGCUUUCGAUUAAUGGAUACCACUCACCAAAACUUGACCCAAAAAUUGGUCUCUAGUUUAUGUUCUACCAAUCGUUUAGUAUCAUGAGGAUUCAUAUAAUGUUAAUAAUAUAUAAAACAUUAGAGCAAAAAUUGUAUAAGAAGUAUAUUUAUCGUAUUUUAAGAACCGCAUAAAGUAUAUUUGUUGUAUUCAAUUAUUAGAUCGUGAAAUAAAAUAUUAUAUUCUUUUCAUACAGUUUUCCAUUUUCAAAAUAAGACAGUUGUUUUCUGUCAAUCGUAAAAUAAGAUUUCUUUUUUGAAUUUUAUAGUAAAAAAAAAAAACACCCUUUUCAGCUUGUAUAGUUAAAUAAAUAAUUAAUACAACAAAUAAAGAAUAAAACUCCUAAAGUUUUAUCCACAUAAACUCAAAAAUUUUUGACAAAUUCUGCUCGACCGCGUUAUAUCUCGUUUAACAUUAAAUUUUAAAUACGUAAUCAUUAUAUAGUUAAGAUGACAUACAGCGUGUAAGAUUCUCAUUUAUACAUUGAUUUGUGCGAGAUACUCCACCUUUGUGUUUUUUUUUUUUUUUUCUUUAAUUUUUGGUUUGUUUUCUGUAUGGAAGUUCAGGGAGGAACAAUCACAAUUGAUAACGUAGGGAUCUUGAUAGACUAGGGAGUUCAGGCGUUCACACCCGGUCAAAGUUCAAUAGGAUUGUAUUCUUUUUGCUCUAGUAGUUUCGUGAACAUCGCUGCUCUCUCCGCACUCGGACUCGUGAUCGCCGAUUACGUCCCAGCUUUUUGUAACCAUACCCAUUUAACCUUUUUGUUUUUUUUAUUUUUCGAACGUUCUUGAAAAUUUUAUAUUUUUGUUAUCUUAAAAUAAAAAAAUAUUCACUGGAAUCUUACCGUUAAUAUUUCAUUAAAGUUCUUUUAAUAUUCUAUUAUAUAUAAUUUUAUACUCAAGAACUAUUCUUAAAAUUUCAUUCUCAGAGAUGAGUCAUUUUUUUCCUGAACUGAUUGUUAUCGAACCGCCAGCCGGCCUUAACCAUCACACACCCCUCUACUCCGUGCCCACACCGACGCCAUUAUCCUACCGUUCUGCGCCUACCCUCGUCCUCAUAUCCACCUUCUCGUCCACGUCCAUUUUCUCAUCUUCCUACCUAACGUCAUCGAAUAGAGCGCAACGAGGCGUGUGGAGGAGCGCUCGAGAGUAGGUGUUGAGAAAAUGGAGUCGAGUUGGAUCGAGGGGCAAGCAAGGAGAUGUGAGGGACGCGAGAGGAUGGCAGUGGCCAUUUGCUCAUUUUGUUUAUCAGAGUUAACACUGUACUCCCAGAAAUUUUUAUUUUUUUAAAGAGGCAAAAUAUAAUUUUGAAUGAUGAGGAGUAAACUAAAAAUCUAGGUUUGUGAAUUUUUUUGUAAUUUAGGCCUGUUAUAAUUAUACUGUCCGUAUAUAUAAUAUAUAUUAUAGUAUUAAGAAUUUAAUUUUGACAGUUUGUUUGAUAUAUUGAAUUUCAACUGCUACAAUUGCAACUGUACGAGAUACUCCAACUACCACUACAUUUAAACUUGACUGUAUUCGACUGCAAACAGUUAGGAAAAAUAAAUUUAAACAAAGAAGUAAGUCAUACUCCUUAAUUUAAUUUAUAAAUAUAAUAUAGAUUUUCUUAUAUUCGACGGUAAUCUUAUCACAAUAUAUUAUAAAUUAAUAAAUUUACAAAAAUCCUUACUCACUACUGAAUCAAACAAAAUCGGUGACAAUUGUAAGUACUUUUUAUUACAUUCAUUUUCAACGAGAUAAACAUAGUUGAAGUGUUGCAUCUCGGGACGACGCUGCAUUUCACAUUGUAUAAAUACCACGUCCCUUGGGAAUCUGUUGUCUUUCACCUGCAAAGCAGAAGGGGCGGUGGUAUGCAUUUCGGUCAUAAAUACUUACUUUGUUGUUUGAUUUUAUAGUAAACUUUAUAUUUGGUAUGAAGAUUAAUUACGAAAAGUAUAUAGAAAUUAUUAUAAAAUAUGAAUCUUUCUCUCAUAGCCUUGUUUUUAUAUCAUUUCAUUUUCUGAAAAUAAAUAAUAAAAACAGUGAAAUCCGGUCCUUACACGCUAUACAACGCCCAUAAUGGACCUCAGCAAACAGUAAUUAUUGUCUUAAACUUAGUUCAUUGAAGACGUCAUACUUCAAAAUUAUUGAAGCAUAUAUAACCCAUACGAGUCAAUGAAGAAAAUUAUAUAAAAUUAGAAAUCAAUUCAUUUGCGUUGCAAAACAGGAAAGUAAUUCUUUUGUAGAAAAGAUAGCGAGCCUACCUGGCUUCUUUCUCUAAGUGACUUUAGGCUUACAUUUCAAAACAGGUCAGCAAGAGCUCGAGGGAACAAAAACAAAAAACUGUUGUACGAUCAAAAAAACAAAAAAAUGGUGUUAAAGACGAAAACACGAAAAGAACGAAUAACAUGCGUCAAAGGCAAGGACAAAUAGCAAAAAAUAUCCACCUACCCAACUCUAUAGAAAUUGGCACACUCUUUAUUAGUACUUCGCAACGAUGAGGUAGUAGAGAGUGCGUUCGAUUCCGCGCUCACCUCUUCACACUUACUGAUUAUUUUUAUCAGCACCAGAUCAACCACCAAUGGUGCACCGAGUUCGAGCUUUCGCAGUGUCAGCCAGUGACCCCUUUCCUGAGAACUCCUUCCAGGCCAUGUCGUAGUGUGACGUCCUCAGUGGAGGGCUGAACGUGAGAGGUCUAUUGAGGAAUCGCAGAACAAAAUAUUAGAACUGCUAACUACAACAUCCAAAACAAGUGAUCACUCGUUUCCAGGACUAUCGGCACCACCAAGACACACUAGUUAUUAUCUGACCUAUCCUCCUUUUAAGCAAGAUCUUUGACCGCCAGUAGCAUCUUUCCUUUUAAGGUUUAACCAGAAGAAAAUUUUGACUUUUGUCGGAAAUUGCAAUUCCAAAUGGCAGGAGUUGACAACAAUGAAGAUUGAGACACCAAUGAAAUGGUUCAUUUCUCCAUAAUUACAAAAAGGCGACAGAUGCUUAUAGCUCUAACAUAUUUUUGUCACCGCCCAGUCACAUUGGACAAUCAUCGUCUGUAAAAUUAAAUUCUCUGACUCUCUCCUGUACCUUGGUAGAUGUUAAUUUCGUCCAACGUACCAUUUUAUGCAUUUUUUAAAAAAUAUACAUUGGCGCCACCAGCGUCCAAAUUACUAUUUUUCAACAAAUACUAAUGUACCCGAUUUGUUGAUUUAUACUGUAUAAGUCGUUAGCUAAACUUAUUGAUAGCUUAAUUUUACCGACGAUGCUCCAAAACCUCUUAAUAGUUUAUUUUUAUUUUUCUUUCUGAUGGCGAUAGAACCUAAAUAAAUAAUAUAAUAAAACCCUCAUUUCUCCUUUAAUAUUCGGAGUUUGACAAAUGUGACCGUUGGAAGACCGUUUACUCUGACCAUUUCAAAUAUUGACCAACAUUUGGUGGGAAAUGGAUUCCCAUAUACUCAACAUAUAUAAAAGGAGCUUGUAGGGGUUUCUAUAAGAACAAUACAAUAAAAUAACAAAGCCUUAGCUCUCUCUCUUUCUCUCUUCUUCUUCUAUGUUCUCCUACAGCUGCUGCAUCCAAUGGCUUCUCUCCACCAUGAAAAGAUGGUAGAGGCCUGACCCGGCGGAGGCGGCAGGGUAAUUGAACCGUCUCGCUUCGCCGCCAAAGUGUUUGUGUUUCGUUCAAUCGAAGAGGAGUUACUGCUUGUUUCUGGUUGUUACUGCUCACGCAUUCAGAAUCAAAAACUAUCUAUUAGUUUACAAUAAUUGGUAGAGGCCCCAUAUGUUUGAAAAUUGCAAGAUUGUUGGACCAUCAGUUUCUAUUGAUAUUUAUUCGCAGAUCAUUUAGAUAUUUAUAGACCAUAUCUAGACAUUAACUUUGUAUUUUAGAUGCCUAUAAUUGUUGGUUUCCGCACGGCUGUCUACGAAGUUUAAUUUUGUUUUUGUGGUUGAUAUAUGUUAUUAGAAAACCAUACCUAGUUCUCUUAAAAAGAAAAACAGAAAAUGGAAUUGAAAAAAAAUAUAUAGAGAUAUGCUUCUGUAUUUUUCGAUGAGACCGCAGAAAAUAUAUCGUAACCGACUAAUUGCGGAAUGCAAUAUUACGUACCGAAAUAAAUAAAGUAUUUUUCCAACAUCCUUUCUUACCGCACGUAACGCAUUUUUUCUGUAAUCCCAAACGAAGACUAAAUUAAAAAUUAUACAUAAAAAAAAAACUUUUCAUUUUUCUUAAUUAAAAAAAAUUAAAAUUACCGAAUUAGCAUAUCAGCACGUCCUG